AAACAACUCUCAAACUUUCGUUUUCUGUUUGUUUUUUUUUUUCGUUUUUAAAAAAUUAAAAAAAACAACAAUGAAAGUAAAGAAAAAGGAAAGAUUCAAGUAAAAAAAACUAGGAAAUCACCUUAGUUUUUUUUUUUUCUUAGUGUUCGUAAAGAAAAGAAGAAGAGCCAUACAAGGAAGAGAUUUUCGGCUUUUAUAGCCGAUCUACAGAACUUUUAAUUUCUAUUUCUUUGUCUUUUUGCUAUUUGUUUCUUCUGUUGUUGCGUGCCUUUUGCAUUCAAUUUUUGCAGGUGUCAGAGCAUGCGGAGGAAAGGCAGCUAGGAGCGGCGGUAGCCAGGCAUGGCAGAGGAGGCGAAACGGCGUUGGGGCUGGAGCCUGGGCAUGCGGGGCAUGCGGCGCAUGGAGGCUUGGGGGCUAGGGUUUGGUACUGCUGAAUGGGGUUAAUUUUUGGGCUAGGGUUUCUUAAUUUGGGCCUGUUGGGUAUUUUGGGCCACUGUUUAUUUUGGACUGUGUGUUUUUUUUGCUGGUAUUGGGCUUUAUUGUUUUGGGCCCCGGGCAAAAUUUGGGUUUUCCAGUUGCCCCUCUUUGCUCAUUUUCAUGUAACGAGAAUAGAGCAAAGACUUUGAAAGGGCCAAUUUUGCCCGGUCUUGCCAAGUCUUGACUUUUUGGUACUGCUCCGAUCCACUGCGUCUUGUUGCUUUGAUCCACUUCACGGCAUCUUUAGAGAGAUACGACUUCGAUCUACUCUGCUGCAACUCUAUGGGGAUGAGAUUUGUGGUUUUAAUCCGCUCCGCUGCAACUUCCAAGAGAUAGAAUUGGUUUCUUUCGUAUGCUCCACUACUGCUUAGGGAGAUAAGACUUGAUGUGAUCUGCUCCACUACUGCUUAGGGAGAUAAGAUCUGGUUUCUUUCGUCUGCUCCACUACUGCUUAGGGAGAUAAGACUUGAUGUGAUCUGCUCCACUACUACUUAGGGAGAUAAGACUUGGUUUCUUUCGUCUGCUCCACUACUGCUUAGGGAGAUAAGACUUGAUGUGAUCUGCUCCACUACUGCUUAGGGAGAUAAGAUCUGGUUUCUUUCGUCUGCUCCACUACUGCUUAGGGAGAUAAGACUUGAUGUGAUCUGCUCCACUACUGCUUAGAGAGAUAAGAUCUGGUUUCUUUCGCUCCACUACUGCUUAGGGAGAUAAGACCUGGUUUCUUUCGUCUGCUCCACUACUGCUUAGGAAGAUAAGACUUGAUGUGAUCUGCUCCACUACUGCUUAGGGAGAUAAGACCUAGUUUCUUUCAUCUACUCCACUACUGCUUAGGGAGAUAGGACUUGAUGUGAUCUGCUCCACUACUGCUUAGAGACAUAAGAUCUGGUUUCUUUCGUCUGCUCCACUACUGCUUAGGGAGAUAAGACUUGAUGUGAUCUGCUCCACUACUACCUAGGGAGAUAAGAUCUGGUUUUAAUCCUUUUAAUUGUAAUGUCGGGGAACACGAUUCGCCAUUGUAGCUUCAAUCAAUUCCACUGCACCACCAGGAAAGUAAGAUUCACUGUUGCGGCUUCAAUCUUUUUAUUUGUAAUGUCGGGGAAGCAAGAUUCGUCGUUGUAGCUUUAAUCUGCCCCACUACAUCGCCAGAGAGAUACUACUGCAACUUCAGAGAGAUAAGAUCUGUUUUCUUCGAUCUACUUCGCCACCAAUAUGGGAAGACAAGAUCUGCAUCUUCGAUCCACUUCCUACCAAUAUAGGAAGACAGAACCUGCUAUCUUCGAUCUACUUCACGCCAAUACAUGAAGACAAGAUCUGCUUUCUUCGAUCCACUUCCUACCAAUAUAGGAAGACAAGAUCCGCAUCUUCGAUCCACUUCCUACCAAUAUAGGAAGAUAGGACCUGCUAUCUUCGAUCUACUUCGCCACCAGUAUGGGAAGACAAGAUCCGCAUCUUCGAUCCACUUCCUACCAAUAUAGGAAGACAGGACCUGCUAUCUUCGAUCUACUUCACGCUAAUACAUGAAGACAAGAUCUGCUUUCUUCAAUCUACUUCGCCACCAGUAUGGGAAGACAAGAUCUGCAUCUUUGAUCCACUUCCUACCAAUAUAGGAAUACAGAACUUGCAUCUUCGAUCCACUUCCUACCAAUAUAGGAAGACAGGACCUGCUAUUUUCGAUCUACUUCACGCUAAUACAUGAAGACAAGAUCUGCUUUCUUCGACCAGCUCCACUACAAAUGAGGGAGGCAAGGUUUGUAUCUUCGAUCUGCUUCGAUGUCAAUGCAGGAAGGCAAGAUCUGUUGUCUUCAACCAGCUCUGCUACAACCGAGAGAGGCAAGGUUUGAGUUUUCGAUCUGCUUCGCUGUCAACGCAGGAAGGCAAGAUCUGUUGUCUUCAACCAGCUCUGCUACAACCGAGAGAGGCAAGGUUUGUGUCUUCGAUCUGCUUCACUGUCAAUGCAGGAAGGCAAGAUCUGUUGUCUUCAACCAGCUCUGCUACAACCGAGAGAGGCAAGGUUUGUGUCUUCGAUCUGCUUUGCUGUCAAGGCAGGAAGGCAAGAUCUGCUAUCUUUAACCAGCUCCACUGCAACCGAUGAAGGCAAGGCUUUGUUUUCGAUCUGCUUCACUGUUAAUGCAUGAAGGCAAGAUCUGCUAUCUUUAACCAUCUCCACUACAACCGAUGGAGGCAAGGCUUUGUUUUCGAUCUGCUUCGCUGUUAACACAAGAAGGCAAGAUCUGAUGUAUUAAUUGAUCUGUUCUCUAGGGAACAUGACCUAUAGAAUCCAUUUUAUGGACCUAUUUAUGCUUAGUGUUUAGGAUGACAUGAUCAAAAUAAAUCAAAUGCUCCUAACUAGAUAUGUAUAAAUGAUAUUUGCAUGAAUGUAGAAUGUCAUGAGAAUGAUCCCUUUUUAAAGUUUGGGUUGUCGUUGCUCGUUGUUCGUCAAGGUUCUAUCACUGAUGUUUUCCCGUUCAGUAAGUAUCUUUGACAGAAGAUUCAAAGAAAUAGUCUCAAUUUAGACUAUCCUUUCUCAAAUGUUUCCAACCUUUAGGUUUGGUUAGUUCUAAACAAUAGUCCUAUUUCAGGUCCUCGUAUUAUUUAAAAACUUUCAGAGUAAUAUGCAGAACUCCUUCUGCAUGAGUAUUGUCAGUCCAUUAAUCGUUAUUUCAAUGAAAAAUGCUUGAAAGAUUAUCAAAAUGGACAAAGUGAAAUUUUGUUGAGAGCAAAGCUCUAAACAAACAAAUCAAUCAAGAUAGCAAAUUUUGCUGAGAUACGAGAUGAAUAAGAUGAAAAAGAUUAUCACAAUGGAUAAGAUGAAAAUUUGUUAAGAGCAAAGCUCUAAAUGAACAAAUUAAUCAAGAUAGCAAAUUUGCUAGAAUAAAAAAAAUGAGAAUAAAUUAAUCAAGAUGGCGUAUUUUGUUAAAAAUACAAAAAAUGAACAAAAUGGAAAUAGGUGCCCCAGAUAUCAUAGCAUGAGCUUCUCUGCCCCAAACUUCUUGAGGACAUUUUGGAACUUGAUAUGUGUUUAGAAGUCCUAGAAGACUUGGUUGAUGCCCCAAGAUGUAGCAUCUCUCCUUAUUAUUAAUUCGGAGAGGGCAAGACUACUGCAUGUCCCACUUUUGAUCACAAUUUGAACUGCCCAUUCUUGGGUUUUCAAUUCAAAACCCUUUUGGUCUCAAGGCGCCCUUUGCGGGUUUUCACCUUGGCCUCUCCUUUUUCUUUUUUUGUUCUUCUUCUCUUUUCUUUUUCUUUUUGUUUUUUUCUUUUUUUCAAGUGAAGUAUAUUGCUUGAAUCAGAAUUCUCAAGAUUAGGCAGGUUUAUGCCAUCCAUCCUGGUUAAUAUCGACGCUUCUUCAAAUAAGGCAUUCCAUAUAAGGUCCUCUCCAGUUUGGCAUCCACUUUCCUCUGAAGUCCUUUUGUAUGAGAAGGAUCUUCUUCGAUAUUAGGUCCCCUCAUGGAAUUCUCUAGGGCGAACCUUUUUUAUGAGCUCGCAUCAUUUGCUUUUGGUACAUUUGACCAUGACGGAUAGCUUUUAACCUUUUCUCUUCAAUUAUAUCGGACCUGGAUCCAUUCUGCUUCAUCCAACUUCAACUCUGACAAGACUCGAAGGGAAGAAAUAUUACCUUUGAUGGGUAAGACUGCAUCUAUUCCAUAUACUAAUGAGAAAUGAGUUGCCCCGGUGAGGUCUUUUCUUUUAUUUUUGGUCUUUUUUUAUUUUUUUACUUUUUUUAUUUUUUUGUUUUUUUUGUUUUUUUGCCUCCACUGAGUCGUUCAUUUUGGGGCGACAUGGUGGUGUUAAUCUUGAACAGACCCGCCAACUUCUGAUGUCGUGCGGUUGUUCAAAUUCAAUGCAUUGUCUAAUAUGAUCCUUUUUGGCAUUCCAUAUUGACAUAUGAUUCUUCAAGAAAAUUACUGAUUGUCUACUUUGUGAUAUUGACAUAUGAAACAACUUCUACCCACUUUAUGCAGUAAUUGAUGACCACAAAGAUGAAUCGAUAACCGCCAGAAGCUUUUGGCGAGGUUGGCCCAAUGACAUUCGUGCCCCUCAUAGAGAAAGUCAAUGGAAAAGUCAUAACAUGAAGAGAUAAAGGAAGCACAUAAAUCUUGUCUCCCUAGAUUUGGCCCUUGUGGCGUUUCUUGGUAUAACUGAUGCAAUCCUCUUCCAUGGUGGACCAGCAGUACCCAUAUAUCAAGAUUUACUUGGCCAUUGCAAAAUCAAUGCAUGUGUUCCUCGGAUACCCUUAUGGACAUUUUCUAAUACUUUCUUAGCCUCAACAGCAUCCACACAUCUUGGUAGCUCAGGUAUAUCUUGAUCAUACGAUAACAUCCUUGAAUCCUUAGAGUAACUUAAUGACAUCUCGCUUUGUCUUUGCAGUGAUACAGGCUCUGAUUUUCACCUUUUUCUCCUCUCCUAAGCUCACAAUUUCCCACUGAUUUUUUGUAAGGUAAGAUCUAUUUUUCGACUUGCUCUACCAUCCUUAACAAAUCAGGAGAUAAGCUACAGUCUCGAUCAUCUUCGAAGUUUUGAGGUUCCUCUAGACACAUAUCUUGCUCAAAAGAAAGUUCUGAUUCAAUAGCAAUGUCACUCAUAUCGCUGAUAUCUGGAGACCUAUUUUAGGGAACGAAAGAAGACUCAAAGAACUAAUGAAUCAAAAGGGGAUUAUUUGUGUGGUAUGAGUAUGAAUGAAAUGGAAGGAACAAAAGAAUGUUUGCCAAAACAAGACAUAAAGAUGCAUUUCGUUGAAAUAAAGAAUAGCGGACAUGUGCCCUUUUCACAAAAGGAUUUUCUAUUGCUCCCAGGCUUAGAGCAAUAAGAGCGUUCCAAAUAUCACUCUGAAAUGAUCUUAAAAAAAUUACAAGAAUCUCCUCUACAGUCCAGUUGUUUAGAACGCCUCUAGGGAUGUAGAAACAAAUCCCUGAUAGGUUUUUUAGUUCUUUCUUCAAAGGCACAAACAUCUUUACUUUCUAAUCCAUCGAUAUAUUCAAAGAAUUCCAAUUCUUUUUCAUCUAUCUGGCUCUGUACUAAAUUUCUGAACUCAAUGCACUUUUGGAUUUUAGGAAAUUUAUUGUAUGCAAUGAAAUGUAAUGUUAAUGAAUGAAAAGAUGCUUGCAAUGAAAUGUAAUGCAUAUGCAUGAAUGCAAAAAGAGGCGUUGAUCUUUAUUCAAUUCUAUUGGAACAACUUUUCUAGAAAAUAAAUCUCUUUACAUAAAAUGGAUACAUAUACGGCUUUGCCCUCAUAGGCAGGGACAUUCGAUCCUCUUAUUCAUUCGAGCGUUAAGAUAAAUCUCACGAACUUUUCAAAAGGGAUGUCUCUUUUAUCUCCUUCUUGCUUGAUCCGGGCUGAGACUCGUUGCUCACUCAUCCUCAUGAUGCUCGUUGGCUUCUCUUUACGAAAGUUCAGCGGCUCUCGAAUAAUCCUUGUCACCUUGAAUUCUCGGGCAACGGAGCAAUGGUUGUAUAGUCCUCCAUUAAACUAUCAUCCUUCUCUUAUCACGUUUUCUUGGACCAUAUUCGGACAACCGUAUUAUUAUCCACUUUAUCAAGAAACCCAUUUCCUUAUGACAAGCUCUCUAUUUAACAACUGAACGUGAAUCAACACCUCUUUUUUAUGAUGAAAAUGCAAUGCAAUCAUAACCAAAAAGACAACAGGUUAGUACAAAGUAAAAGCAAGCAAGAAUAAAUAGAACACCUAUUUGGGUGACCACUAGGGGUUUGAAGUGGUUCUACCUAGGGUGGCUCUUAAGGUAUUCUACAUGUGGUUUGGCUCUAGAGUAAGGGUACCCGAACCAGCAGAUUCCUCGAUUCUCACCCAUUAUAGGCUCAUAUGGACCGAGUUCAGUUCAGGGGGAUACAUUUCCCUAUGGCUGGACGGAAAUGAAGAUCUCACGAAGACAUAGGUACGGAUGUAUCCCGAAAGCGAUCCACCAUCCUGCGUGGAGGUGAAAACCUCACGAAGGACUAGUUUCUCACUCCCACUUAAAAGGGUGCGACCGUAGGUCAUGCAAUGCAAUGCAGCAACAUACCAAGCUUAAACUACCACAGCGAUCAAAUCACAAUGAUAAAAACCGAAAUAGAGACGAAUGAAAUGCAAAGAAAGAAUCGAAUUUUAAACCAAGUUAUCGAUUUUCGACAAAAAGACAAAAAGUAAUCAACUCGUGGCUUGACUCACUUAUUUUGGCUCCCCAGUGGAGUCGCCAAGCUGUUGACACCAUUUUUUUUGUGAAAAAGGGGUCGACUUGGGUUUUGAAAAAAAUAAAAACGAAAAUAGGAGUCGCCACCAAUCCUUUUUUGAUGAGGUGUGAUCGGGUCACCGAAAAGUGGUUGUUUUCAAUAAACGAUUUAAUUUUUAUUAAAACAACGAUUUUGGUCUACGAAAUUCAGAAAAACGGGUUCGGGAGUCGGUUACGCACGAGGAAGGAUUAGCACCCUCGAUACGCCCAAAAAUUGGUACCUAGUUGAUUACUUAAUGUCUUGGUGUCGAAAAUUAAAAACUCGAAAAGAAUUUAAAAAUACGAUCCCUCUUCAUAUUGUGUUAUCUUAAAAAAUUACUCGAAUAAAUCAAAAUGAAAAAUGCCUCCUUAUCUCGAAUUAACAAGAUGUCACAUUCAGUAAGUUAGGACACGACACCUCGUAUUUUUUAGAGUAAACUUGCCUUUUAUUUUUUAUUUAAACCUCAUAUAUUUUAAUUUUCAAAGGAUAUUUGGUUAUUUAGGAUCAACGCGAGAAAAAUCGAAGCUCAGUAAGUUAGGGCACGAUUUUCUCGAAUUUUCUAAAUACGAAAUAUUGCCUUUAUUUUCGAAAUUUUUAUUUUUGGAAAUUUAAAAGGAUAUUUUGCUAUUUAGGUUUAACGAGAAAAUCGAGACCCAGUAAGUUAGGGUACAAUUUCUCGAAUUUUCUAAAUAUGAAAUAUUGCCUUUAUUUUCGAAAUUUUUACUUUUGGAAAUUUAAAAAGAUAUUUUGCUAUUUAGGUUUAACGAGAAAAUCGAGACCCAGUAAGUUAGGGUACAAUUUCUCGAAUUUCUAAAAUGCAAAAUAUUACCUUAUUUUCGAAAUUUUACCCUUUUGAAUUUGGAGUACGAAUUAAUGGAAUUUAAAAAAACAAAUGCGUGCAAUUUUGAUUAUAUUUGAAAAGAAAUUGUUCAAAACAGAAAGAAUGUCAUACACGACCUAUAAUGAAUAUACAACGUACAUUUAAAAUCCAUGACAUAAUAUGCAUCAUAAAAUAUAUACAAAGCAUUGAUACUAAUAAAUCCUAAUGUUAACAUGCAUGACAAAGACAAUAAUAAGAGUACAAAUAAUAAUAUGGGGAACAAUAACAAAGAGAAUAAUAACAAUAUAAAUGAUAAUAUGGAGAAUAAUAAGAGCGAUAUAGCAAAAAUAAGAGUAAUAAAUAAUAACAACAAAUAAUCAAUAAUAAAUAAUAAACAAAACGUGAAAACAAAAUAAAGGAAAUAUUAAAUAAAAUAUUUGAUAACUGUUUUUUUCCUUUUUUUAUUUUUAAAAAGAAUAAAAUUUGAAUUUAAAUCAAUUGGGGACCAAAUGGGAAUUAAAAUAAAGUCAGUGGGCGAAAUUUGAACCAAAAAGAGCAAUCUGGGGUCAAUUGAAACGCAUGCAAAGUCACGGGGACCAAGUGGGAAAUUAAUCCCGAUCCCUAAGGCGAGUCGUUUUGUGCGGGACCUAAUUGAAACGGGUUCAAAAUUUCCGGGGUCAAAUUAAGAAGGGCUAAAAAGGAUAAAAGGACUGCAUUGAAGACAGAUAACAAAAAUGAAGGAUCCACAGCGCAAAUAGCCCAUUCGGCCUUGACAACGCGCGGAUCCUCUGUUUAACCGGGUCGGGUCGCGGGUCAGAGGCGAAAACGGCGUCGUUUUGGCUAUUAAUGCUUAAGCCCAAAACGGCACCGUUUUGGUCUCCAUAUAAAUAGGAAAAAACCGAAAAAAAAUCAUUUCACUUUCAUUUUUUAACAAAAACAGAGAGAGAGUCUCUAAGAUUCUCUCAACACUCUCAGCCCUCAGAAUUUGGCGAGGACCCAGUCACCGGAGCACCAGCGGCCGCCGCCGUGCACGGCGGUAGGACGCCCAAAGUUCGUCGCCUUUCGGUGAUUUCAAAGGUACACCUCUUUUUCUUAUUUUAUUUUCGUGUUAAAAAGAAACAAAACAUAAUAAAUAAAUAAAAAAUGGAAAAGAACAAUCGGGGAAGACUAAAAAACAACUCUCAAACUUUCGUUUUCUGUUUGUUUUUUUUAUUUUCGUUUUUAAAAAAUUAAAAAAAAACAACAAUGAAAGUAAAGAAAAAGGAAAGAUUCAAGCAAAAAAACUAGGAAAUCACCUUAGUUUUUUUUUUCUUAGUGUUCGUAAAGAAAAGAAGAAGAGCCAUACAAGGAAGAGAUUUUCGGCUUUUAUAGCCGAUCUACACAACUUUUAAUUUCUAUUUCUUUGUGUUUUUGCUAUUUGUUUCUUCCGUUGUUGCGUGCCUUUUGCAUUCAAUUUUUGCAGGUGUCAGAGCAUACGGAGGAAAGGCGGCUAGGAGCGGCGGUAGCCAGGCAUGGCAGAGGAGGCGAAACGGCGUUGAGGCUGGAGCCUGGGCAUGCGGGGCAUGCGGCGCAUGGAGGCUUGGGGGCUAGGGUUUGGUACUGCUGAAUGGGGUUAAUUUUUGGGCUAGGGUUUCUUAAUUUGGGCCUGUUGGGUAUUUUGGGCCACUGUUUAUUUUGGACUGUGUGUUUUUUUGCUGGUAUUGGGCUUUAGUGUUUUGGGCCCCGGGCAAAAUUUGGGUUUUACAUGAGUAGUUUGAUAUUCUGAUUCAAUCUUGUUCCGAAGAGCUUCAGUAGAGAUCUCGUCCAGGAGGUCCUCGGCAUCAUAAACAGCAUCUUUGAGCUCAUCGGUCCAACUUUUGACAUUUGGGUUGGCAAUCUGCUUAUUUUCAGCAUCAUCCAACACUGCUUUCACCGACAUCAAGGUUGGCUUGAGUUUCUUCAGUAGCACAACUUCAAGUUUCUUUCCUUUGAUAAGCCUCAGAACAUCGGCAUAAACAAUCCUAUCAAGCAGCACCUCAAUGGAAGCAGAGAGAAAAGCUUCAGCCACCAUAGCCAUGUUUUUUUGUGGGGUUUUUUUCGGUAAAUAAAGGUUUAAAGGAAGAUGAAAAGGGAAGUAAUAACAAAGAAAGGAAAAGAAGAGUGCUUCAACUAAAGAGAAGACACGAUUGCAAAGAUGAAGGAUUUGGAUUUGAAACAGAGAAAGGAAGUGCAAAGCAAAUAGUCAACAAGGAACAGUAGAAGGAUUGGAUGAAAGGGGAAGGCUUUAACUCGCAAAUACUUUAGUUUCAAUAAAUUUGUGUAUAAAAUUUCUUUAUUGGAAUGUUUGAAAAAUGAUUUUGGGUUGAAAAGUAUGGAAAAUUAAUGUAUUACACAAAUGAUGAAAUAAUAUGGAAAACAACAUAAUAAUAUAAAAAUAUCUUGAAAUUUAUAUUUAUAAAUUAAGUAGAUUUUAUUCCUAAGAUUGCAAAAUUAACAAAUCCUUUGUAAUUUGUCUUUUUUAUUUUAAAAAAGGGGUAAAUUAAUCCUCGUACAUUAAAUUAAGAGUAAAAUAAUUAUUCUGUUAAAAUUUUUAUCCAUUUAAAUUAUUAAAAAUUGGUCCUAGUAUAUCAACAUGAGGUAUAUAUGGUAUGUCACAUGUCAUUAUUCGGUUAUUUUAUCAAUCAUAUCAAUUUUUAACAGUACAAAUGGAUAAAAUUUUUAACAAAAAAAAGGAUUAAUUUGUUCUUUGAUCUAACGUAUAAGGACUAAUUUACUCAUCUUAUAUUAAAUGGGACAAAAUAUAAUCUAACUCCUAGUAUAGAGAGCUCCAUAAUAUUUUACGGUGCAAAUUAUAUAUUAACAUAUCAAAAAAUUUAUAUAAAUAUAAAAAUACGAUACAUAUCCAUAAAUUCUUAGAUCUAAUAAUAAUAGCCAAGUAGUUUCAAAUAAAUAAAUCUUAGAAUAAAGAAAUGAGAUUAAUAUUCAUAAAACUAGAUAAAAAGAACAGUAAAGAACUGAUGCCGCCUGACUAAGUGACGGCACCCUCUUAUUUAUUUCAAACCAAAAUACAAAUUUAUUUUAAGAGGAUACGAAAUAAAACAAAAUAAUAAUAAUUUUUUAUUAGUGCGGCCCAGGCGGCAACCUAUUAUUUUUAAAAGGAAAAUUGUUUUUUGUACUCUCCUUAUGUAUAUCCAUAGGGAACUCCCAUAAGCCAUAAGCCAUUAAAUGCUUCCAUCGAGUAACCAGUUCAUGACAAAGGACACCCACCGAGGACAGUGUAGCCAUAGAGCCCCAGAGCUCCAACCCACUAUGAAAUAUCCAACGCCAGUGAAGCACCAAUCACACCCCAAUCCAACACAUUUACGAACACCCAACUCGUCAACACAUUCACCCCUAAAGCACAAAACGAGACAUAGGCUAACACCCUAGUCUUCAACUGGCUUUGCAAGAACCUUUGUAAUGGGAACUGAAACGCAAAGCUAAAGUGCAAAGGUAUCAACCAAAUCGCCACCACCCCCGACAUCUCCCCCACGUCGUCCAGCUGUCCGAAUAGCUUUAAAACCGGGGUAGCAAAUACGUAAAUGGGUAACAACAAAGGAGUAAAACGAUCCAAGAUCUUUGCAUGUAAAGGCCGAACAUGUGGUAUUGUUUAGCACCAAAAGCUUGUCCACAAAGGGUUUCUAAAGCACUCGCCAUCCCUAAUUAUAUUAAAGUGAAAAAAAAAACCUAAUGUUAAGAGACAAAUAUGGUAAAAAGAAAACUAAUGGAACAAAAAAGAAAGUCUCAUCUAAUGAAAAUUUACUAUGAGGCCAAAGUUGAAGCCAACGAUGGCCGUAUUGGCUAUUGAAAUAGCUACAAGUUGAACAUCACCAAGGUGACCAGCAAAAGCUUGGGUUAUAAUGUUCAUGGAGUAGAAGCAACAGGAGUUACAGGACUGAUGAUUGAAGGUCCUACGAUGACCCAUAGCUUCUUUGUUUCGAUCCAUAGCCUUGUACUUAAGUCCUUCUUCCCCAUCUUCAUCUCUCCAUUUAUUUUCUUCUGGUUUUGAUUCUUCAUGAUUUGAACCUGGUUCUGUUAGUAAAGGUUGAUGGUAUUCGCCACUGUUCCCAUGGAUACUAUCCAUUAGAGACAAAGUUAAAAUAAUAGACUAUGGGCUAUCUUAGAUUUGCUUGGGACAAAAAAAUUUUUAAAAAUUAAUAAUAAUAGGGUGCGCCAGGCAAGUUGCCAACCACUAAUAAAAAAAUAUUUUUUCCGAUUUAUUCCACAUUGUAAAAAUUUUGUAUUUUGGUUUAAAAUACAGAUGCUGCUAAUUGAUGAAGUUGCGUCUAAAUUUUUUUUUAGAAAUAAAGGGGUGUCACCGAUUAGUCAGCGGCACCAAUUGUUUAUUAUUGCUUAGUUUCGUGAAUAUUAAUCAUCUUAUCCUAUUUUGGUAUUUAUUUAUUUAUUUUAUAUUAUUUAUGUAAAAAAUACCCUAUAGUAUCUGAACUUGAUUAGAGGUUCAGAAACAAAAACAGCACUAGUAACCCAGAAAUACACCAAUACCCAGAUUAGAGCUGAUCUUGGCCUGGCCAGGCUGAGCUUCAAUAGAAUUUUAGGUCUAUUUUUUAGGCCUAGAUACGACUUGAAAAUGGACCUAAAAUUUUGCCUAAAUUUUCUCGAAUAAAAAUGCUAAUAUCUAAGCCUAGCCCGACCACCCGUAUUAAAAUUGUUUACAUUAUUAUUCUUAUAUAAUACAAAUUUAAAAAUAUAAUACACUAAAAACAUUAAAAUAAAUGUUCCCCAACAAAUUUAAAAUAAAUUUAAAAAAUAUGUACAUACUUAAAUAACACUAAAAUAGGUGUAAUUUAGCAAGCAAAUGCCUAUAAAAUAAUAGCAAAAUUAACAAUAAAACGAGAGUUAUACAAUAUCUAAAUAAUAACAAUAAAAUAGUAACAAUAUAAUAACGAAAUGACAACAAAACAAUGACAAAACAAGAGCAAAACAAUGGCAAAAUAGAAUUAGUUAUUUUUUUGCAAAUUUAGGCCAGGCAAAAAAAAAAAUUACCCAAAACCUAACUCAUUUAGAAAACAAGCCUCAUUUUUUGCUCAAGCUCAUUUUGUGGAUCUGUAUUUUUACUCAAAAUUUCCCACCUUUUAUACGAGCCUUUGUGCUGGCCAAAUGACCCAACUCAUAAUCAGAUCUAAGACCAAGUGAUACUAUAUAUAUAUAUAUAUAAAACAAACCAACUUUAGCAAAUGUAGGUCAGAUAUUUUAGCACAUUAUAAGAAAAUUUGCCUUUUAAGGCAAUGUUUAAAACAUAAAGUUUACUAUUGAAAUUGAAACAUAUUUAAAUAAAAACUAUUGUUUUAUAAAUAAAAGUAUCAUGAAAAUCAAUUAAAAUAUUCAAAAAAGUCAAUUUUUUUUAAAAAAUUACCUGAUUAGGCCUGGCACACGGCCGUGUGGCAUCAACAGUCAUGUUUUUCAGCAUCCGAAAUUCACAAAAACUCGGGUUUUCGGUACGUAGAGGAAGUAAUUUUGAAGUAAGAGCAACGUAAAAUACUCCCGAAGCCUAAAGCGACCAUUCAAUAACAAAAGACCUUCUAGCGGAAAAAGAAUACUCAAUUAUGCAUAGAAAACUAUGUCGAAAGUUUCGACACAAGACCUUCAACAACUCCAGACUUACCAACAACAUCAACAGUGAUUACUCGAGUUAUUGCACUGAGGAUUGUUGCUUUUGAUAUCCUCGCCUAAAAAGAAGCCAAAAGGUCCCUUAAAAGAAGGUUUAAACAAUUUGAGUUGGAAACAACUCAGACAAAAAUGAAUGAACUACCGUAUAACGGAAGUUCUAUGAUUAACGAAAUAGACAAAAUGUGCGGACCAAGCAACAAUUGGAUGAAGAAAAAAAGGAAAAAAGAACAAAAAGAAAUAGAUGAAAAAAAUAAAGAAGAAAAGGAAAAAAAUAGCAAUGGAAAGGAAGAGGGAACGCUUAAUUAAUCUAACCAUCGAUCAAAAUUUCGACAUUAACCAAAAACAUUACCUAAUGCAUACGCAGAGACUCAAAUACUAGACCAGAAAGUAGACAGAUGCUUAGCCAGUUAACCAGCAGGCUCAUUCUUGACUGUGAAAAAAUAGAACGUCGAUAAUGACAAUGUAUCACAAAGAAAAGAGAAAGAAAAAUAAAGAACACACAGAUUUUUAUGUAGAAACCCUUUUGAGAAAAAAAACUACAGGUAAAGGAGAAGAUAAUUCACUAUGUCGAAUUCAAAUGAUUAUAAGAGGAGUAGACUAUGUCUAUUGUAAAACCAUAUUAUAAUAGAAUGAGUGUAGUAAGGUUGAAACAUCUUAUUCUAAUCAAUAUCGAAUAUAUGAAGUGUAAUAAGGUUGAAAAACCUUAUUCUAAAAUAAAAUAAAAGAAGUGUAGUUCUAUAUGGAUUUUACUUUUAUUUUAUUUUACCACAAUAUUUUAUUUUAACAAGGAUUCGGGUCACUCAAUUCUAACAAUCUCCACCUUGACACGAAUUCUCAAUGAAUAAUUUCUUCACCAUGAACUCUCAACGAAUAAGUUCUCCACCUCUUCUAUGAAACCCUUUAAGGGGUAUUUUUCAACAAUGAACACCAACCAAGUCUAAACAAUGCUCAAACUUGGUUAUGGGAAGUGACUUAGUCAUCAUAUCUGCAAGAUUUUCAUGAGUACUAAUUUUGCUCACAAUACCACCACGAGUAAUAAUAUCAUGAACAAAAUGAUACCGAACAUUAAUGUGCUUUGUUCUCUCAUGAAACAGUUGAUCUUUUUAAGCACUCAUUUACAAUGAACAACCUUUUUUCCUUUAGGAAGUUUCACAAGAGCUCAUGUUUUAUUUUUGUUGAGUUAUUCCAUCUCUUUUUGCAUAGUAAAUAUCUACUUUUCUGAGUCUUCACAGCUAACCGCUUCAGAAUAAUUAGAUAGAUCUUCAUUUGCAUCUAUAUCUUUAGCCACAUUUAAAACAUAAGUAACUAGAUCAACAUCGAUAUACUUUUUUGAAGGUUUAAUCUCUCUUCUAGUUCUGUUUUUGAUGAUAGAAUAUUAUGGUAAAGAAGUAAAUCUAUUCUGAAUUUCUAUUCUGGCUUGAGGAGUCAACUUUGUUUUAGAUUCUAGAUUAAUCUGAUGCUCCAUCUACUUUUGCUGUUCUUUAUUAGAAGAGUCUUUAAGAGAUAAGUUAGGUAGCAUAACAGUUUGAUUAAAAACAUCUCUAUUAAUCACAACUUUUCUAUUUUCAAGACACCAUAACUUAUACACUUUUACACCAGUUUUAUAACCAAGAAAAACACAUUUAAUGGAUCUCGGUUCCAAUUUUCCAUUAUCAACAUGAGCAUAUGCAGGACACCUAAAGAUCUUUAAAUCAGAAUAAUCAGCAGGAUUACCAGACCAUACCUCUUGUGGAGUCUUUUUCUCAAUGGCACUUAAUGAAGACCGGUUGAUAAAAAAGCAUGCAGUAGAGGCUGCUUCGACUCAAAAUGACUUUGGUAAGUUGGUAUUCGAUAGCUUACAUCGAACCUUCUCCAUAAUUGUUCUGUUCAUUCAUUCUACAAUGUCGUUUUGCUGUGGAGUAUGACGAACUAUCAAGUAUCUCAUGAUCCCUUUUGACUUGUACAAUUCAUUAAACUCAUCAGAACAGAACUCUAAGCUAUUGUCUGUGCGAAUGUGUUUUAUUUGAUUUCCCCUUUAUUUUUCAAUCAUAGUUUUCCAAGACUUAAAUGUAGAAAACACAUCACUUUUCUACUUUAGGAAAAAUGCCCAAACUUUUCUGGAAAAAUCAUCAAUAAGUGUUAGCAUAUAAUUAGCUCCACAUUUCAAAGGCACACUAGAUGGCCCCACAAAUCAGAAUGAAUAUACUUUAACAUUCCUUUCAUGUUGUGGAUUUCUCUGCUGAAUCAAACUCUCUUUUGCUUCCCAAAAAGGCAAUGCUCACAGAACUUUGGUUUGCAAAUUUCUUACCCAUCAAGAAGUCUUUUUUUGUUCAAUUCUGUCACACUAUUCUCAUUCAUAUGCCCUAGGCGCAUAUGCCAAAGUCUAGUAACAUCAUCAUCUGAUAAGGAAGAGGAAGCGAUAGUUGCAUCACCAAUAAUCGUAAAACCCUACAAAACAUAUAACUUGACAGUCUUUCUUUGUCCUUUCAUCACAAUAAGGGAACCUUUGAAAUUCUUCAAAACUCCUCUUUAUGUUGUAUAUUUGUACCCUUUUGAAUAAAAAGUACUCAACGAAAUCAAAUUUCUCUUCAAAUAUAGAACAUGACGCAUGUCACUAAGUGUUUUGACAACUCUGUCAAACAUCUACUUUUCUUAGUCUGCAGAGCUAACUGCCUCAUCUCUUCAUCCGUCAAUGUCAAAGGCAUUUUAUCUAUCCGUAGCAGAGCAUCCUCUAAGUCCAUCUGCGCAAGAAUUGUCUACAUCUUUAUCUAUCACAACACAAAUCUGGUUUUCUAAUCCAAUAGUGAAAUUUCAUACCUCAAAGAUGUCAUUACCAUGAUUGAGAUGAACAACCUGGAAACUCUGAUACCAAUUUGUGAAAAAAUAGAACGUCGAUAAUGACAAUGUAUCACAAAGAAAAGAGAAAGAAAACUAAAGAACACACAUAUUUUUAUGCGGAAACCCUUUCAAGAAAAAAAGCACGGGUAGAGGAGAAGAUAAUUCACUAUGCCAAAUUCGAAUGAUUACAAGAGAAGUAAACUAUGUCUAUUUAUAGGCUUGUAAAACCAUAUUCUAAUAGAAUGAGUGUAGUAAGGGUGAAACACCUUAUUUUAAUUAAUAUAAAAUAGAUGAAAUGUAAUAAGGUUGAAAAACCUUAUUCUAAAAUAAAAUAAAAGAAGUGUAGUUUUAUAUGGAUUGUACUUUUAUCUUUUUACCAUUGUAUUUUAUUUUAACAAGGAUUCGGGUCACUCAAUUCUAACAAUCUCCACAUUGACACGAAUUAAAUCUAAGUCAGUGGCCCAAGAGUAGAGAUUAAUUAAAAUUAAAUUAGAAGAACUUCUAAAGAUGCAACUUGAACUCCUGACCUCAACCACAUAAACAGAGCACAUAACAACAGAUACAAAGACUUAAUUACUAUAGAAUCCCACAAAUAAACAUUCAAAUUUUUAGGGCGUUACCCAGCAUAUGGAUUAUGUGUAACACCCCUAACCCGUAUCCUUCUCCAGAAUAGGGUUAUAGAGCAUUACCGGAGUUUACAAAUUAAUUUUCAGACAUUUCAUUUCAUCAAGCAUUCAUAUUUAUAACCAAUCAAAAUCAGAACAUUUAUGAGCUAACAUUGACUAAUUUAACUUAUACAAGUCAUUAUAACCAGAAUCAAAUCAUCCAAAAUUACCGAUAGAACCAAUGGAUAAUGUAAUAUAUCUUCAACAAGCUUCCGAUAAUCAUUUCAAAACAUCUAACAAUUAUACAUAGUACCAAUAAUAACUCAAUUCCAAUAAUAAAACACAAAUAUAUAAUAUUCAUUACCAAAUAGAAUUCACUUUAAUUAAAAUUAUACAAAAUAUAGUUCAUACGAACUUAACAGACUAAAUUGCAGAAAUACCAAAAUUCAGGGGCAUUUUGGAAAGUUUCUAUUUUUCUCGAAUUUCUACCCAAUUUUGAUCUAAAUUAAUAUUUCAUUCAAUUUACUAAUUUAAAUAAUAAAACAAUUCAUUUCAUGCAAUUUGGUCACUUUUUUGACAUCUUUACAAAUUUACCCUUAAAGUUUCUCAUUUGUUCAAUUUAGUCCCUAAACCUAAAACAUGUAAAUUGGUCAUUUUUAAUGAAAACUCAUGCUAGUUGAAUAAUCAUAUAUUUUCCUCCUCCAGACUCCAUUCCACAUCCUUAAUGUAUAUAACAUGCUUAUAUGUAACAUUAUCUAUAAUUUCACCAUUUAUUCAUAUAUUCAUUCUAAAUUGUCCACUUGAGUCAUAGUCACUAAAUUAUUUAUAUCUUGAGCUAUAGAACUAAAAAUUGAGAUCCGUUAAUUUUAUAUGAAACUAGACUCACAUAUCUUCUUACCAUAAAAUUUUCAGAAAAUUUAGUUCAGCCAAUAAGUACAGUUUAUUCUUUAAAUUCAUCCCUGUUCUGCUGUCUGACAGUUCCGACCCUUCUUCACUAAAAAUUAAUUAUUUCCUCGUACAGAAUUCGAAUGAUGUUACCGUUUGUUUCUAUUGAAAAUAGACUUAUUAAGUAUUUAAAUAUAUAAAUUUAAGUCCAUAAUUAUUUUUCUCAAAUUUUUUAUGAUUUUCCAAAUUCAGAACAGGGGAACCCAAAUUCAUUCUGACCUUGUCUCACAAAAUUUAUUAUAUCUCAUGAUUUACAAUUCUGUUACUUAUUAUAUCUCAUGAUUUACAAUUCUGUUACUUACACCGUUUCUUCUAUGAGAAACGAGACUCAAUAAGCUUCAAUUUCAUAAUUUUUUUAUCCUCUAAUUCGAUUUUCACAAUUUAUGGUGAUUUUUCAAAUUUAACCUACUGUUGCUGUCAAAAACUAUUUUAAUGCAAGAUAUUGAUUACUAAGUUUAUAACUCCCUUAUUCCCUUUCUCUAUAAUAUUUCCCAUCACUUUCACUUAUUUCCGUUCACUAAUAUAUCAAGAAAAUAAGACUUUAUAUAAGAAAACUCUACUAGAACAUCAUUUCUAUGCUUUUUCAAUAAUAUCAAACUUAAAAACAUAUUGAAAUCUUGAUGUUCUUACCUUGUCCUAUUGGUUUCAAUCUUUAACUUGAUUUUCUCUCUCCUCCAGCUUCUAUUUCUUUAAUCUAACUUGAUAUUCUAGCUCCCCAUAGUCUUCUUGUUAUUUUUCUCUCUUGAUGGCUAUAAAAAUUCUUUUGAUUUCUAGGUGAAAAUAGUAAAUUUUUGGAGGAAGGACCAAAUUGUAAAGAAAGCAAAACUUUCUUUCUUUCUUUCUCUCAUCUUCACGUUGGUGCAUGGGAAGAUGAUGGCUUGGUUCCCUUUUUCAUCUUUUUUUCCACAUAUAUAUAUUUUAAAUAAUAAAAUAAUAAAAUAUCAUUAAAAUAUUAAUAAACUAAUAUUUAUUUAUUUAUUUAAUCUAAAAUAUCUCCAACAUCAUCAUUAUCUUCUAGAUUACUCUCUCUUCUAAAUGACCAUUUUGCCCUUCAUGAUCUUUUAAAAUUCCAUCCUUGAGUCAUCACUUAAUUUGGAAAAAUUAUGAUUUAAUCCCUCAUAAUUUUUCACCUAUUCAAUUAGGUCCCAAUUCAUCCAUUUUCUUUAGUUUCUAGAUUAUUCCACCCUUAAAAUAUUUACACUAUUGGUCCUUCAAACUUUUCAUAUUUACACUUUAACCCCUCAAAUUUUAAGUAUUUACUCUUGGGCAACAAAACUUUUCUCACUUUUGCAAUUUAAUCCUUUCUUGAAUUAAUAUGUCAUAAUAUACUUUCCAAUGUUGACAUAACUCAAAGUUACCAUUUUUAUCACUUUAUUUCCUUAUUUACUAUAUCAGGAAUAUUAUCUUAUUUUUUUACUGUAGUAAAUUUUUUUUUGGGGUAUUACAUUAUGAGUCUAUAUAUACACACAUAUCUACAUCUCACAUGCUUAAGAAAAUAAGAGAAAUGAGACUUUGGGUCUAGAAACAAGCGUUUUCUAAAAUUUGGCCUAUUCCUUUAAGUUUUACAUAAAUAAAGCUAUUCAUGUAAAUUUUUUAAUUUUUCGACAUUUAUUAGUAAACUAGUCAAUGUUUUUAAUCAUGAAUAUAAUUUUGGGUUUAUAUGAAAUAUGCAGGGCAAGAUAGUAAUGUUAUUAUUAUUGUGUAUAUAUAUUAUAUAUGCAUAUCAAUGAUUUUGAGGAUUAAUUCAUGAUUAUAGUAGGUGUUCAUAACCAUUAUUCAUUGUUACGAUGAUUUGGUGCAAACUCAUGUAAACUAUAAUACAGGUUUAAAGAAUUUGGUUUUUCAAGUUUGAUUUUAUAAUAUUUGGUUUUGGCAUUUUAUGGUUCCAAAUAUUUGGUCAAAUUAUGAUAUGAUUUACGAAAUGAAUUGUGAGAUAUACCAACUAUUACAAAAUUUGGGUUAAGAGUUAGAUUUUGGAAUUUCAAAUUUUAAAAUUGAAUAUAAAACAUUAAAAAAAUUGUAUUAUAUCUUCUUUCACACUUCCUUCAAAACUUAAACAAUAAAUAAUAAAUUUUGUAACAGCCCAUUUUCAGUGAAAUCAAAAUAGUGGUUUCGAGACCACAAAUUCGACAUGAAAAUAUUUAUUUUUAUUAAUAUUUUAGUGUCUACAGUAGGUUAGUAGUGUCGUACAAAAAUUUUGUUAAGAAAUUUUGACGUUUGCAUCUUAAUUAAGUAAAAAAAAAGGAUUAAAUCGUAAAAGGUGAAAAAGUGCAGUUCAAUUAGAUAAAGGCAUUAAAUUGCUAUGAAAUUUUAGUUUGAGUGACUUAAAUGAUAAUUAAACCAUUUUAUGAGUUAAUGGACAUAUAUGGACAUCAUUUUAAUGAUGUUAAAGGUUUAUAAUAAAGGUUAAUUUAGUAAAUAAAUACAAAUUAAAUCAAUUAAAAGAAAACUAAAUGUCUAUCUCCUCCAAGUUCUUUCUCCACCGUAAUUUAGAAGAGGAAGAAGCCUUUUUAGGGUUUUUCCAUUCGGCCAUAGUCUAUCCUUGCAUGUAAGUGCAAUUUUGUCCCGUUUUUAAUUAUUUCUAUGUUUUUGAAGUCAUUAUAGCUUAAUCUUGCUAGCCUAGGGGCUAAUACGCAAAAUUGUUAAAAGUAUAGGGUUUUGCCAUGAAUUUCCUAGCUUGAUAUUUGUAGUUUAAUGAAAUAUUAUGAAUUUUUGUUGAUAAAUAAACAACUUUUGCAAAGUGAUUUUUGUUGAAAAUGUCAAAUCGAGACUUGAUUGUAAAAAUAGUAAAAAUGUAUGGUGAAAUUGUGAAAUAAUGAUUUGUAUGAAUUAAUAUGUGUUCAUGAAGAAUUCAGCUAGCUUGGGUUAGGGAUGAAACUGCAUGAAUUUCAAUUUACGAGCAUAAAGACUAAAUUGUAAAAAGUUAAACUGUUAGGGGUACAAUUGUAAGUAUGCAUAAAUGUGAUUUGUGGAUUGAAUUGAAUAAUUGAGUUUGAUUGAAACACUUAAUUGAAUAUUAUUAUUUAUUUAGAUUAAGAUAAAUCUCAACCAGAUUUAAAUUGAGGAAAGGCGAAAGUCACAGAUUAACUUGAUUGUACUCCUACGCACUAGUUGCCAAUGUAAGUUCAUAGUAGUUAAACGUAUAAUUGAUUUUCCAUAUGUAUUUUUACCUUAUAAAUAUGUAAUUAAAUGUUAAUGUAAAUUAUAACCUAUUUGUACUUCAGUACCUCUGAUUGCACAUACGUGCCCUUGUUCGUACUUCCGUAUCCUUGAUUGCACUUAUGUGCCCCUGUUUACAUUUUCGUAAUUUCAAUCAAGUAAAAUAAGAAUUGUGUUCAUUUGAUGCUAAGUUUAAAAGAUUUACUAUGUUCUUACUGAGCUUUGUAAGCUUAUAGGUUUUUGUGUAUCAUUUUGUAUAUUGUUAUUGCUAACCUUUGGACGGAUCGAAUCUUCAGCUCACACUAUCCAUCAUUGUUGGUAGCUCUUAAACUCUUUAGGGUUGUGGCAUGUAUAUGUGGCUAUUUAGUUUGUUUUGGUAUAAUAUGGUGAAUUACUAAACUAGGUGAUUAGGUACUUUUCUAUGUUUGUGAAUAGAUAUCUUUUGGUACAAAUAGAAUGUUAUGAAAGUAAACACUUAUGGAUUGUUUUGGUUUGUUGAUGGAAUAAGUUGUUAUGUUUGGUUUAUAAAUAUGGUAUAUUGGAUGGUGUGCUUUUGGCACUUUGAUGCUUAAUGGAUUGUUAUGGAUAUGAUCAAUUUGGUAUGUCUGAAUUGUGGUUAAUUAUGAAAUGAUUAGGUAUGUUUUAUGUAUGUGUUUGAGUUGUCUAUAUGACGUAUUGGUUAUAUGGAUUAUUAGCUUAUUGUAUGGAUAUUUUUUUGUAGGUUUUGAGCAUGUUUAUGAGUUUUGAUCAUGUGUGCAAAAGUGCCUAAGUUUAUGCUUGUGAAGGAUAAAAGAAAUGACUUGAUUUUAGUCAUUUUCUUGUCCACACAGCCAAAGACAUGGGUGUGUGUCUUAGCCGUGUAUGACAUACGGCCACGUGAAAUGGUCGUGUGUCCCUUAUAGGUUUCAAAGGGUGGUAAGUCAGGCAGUUACACAGCUUGGCACAUGGGCGUGUUAGGCCAUUUUGAUAGUUACACGACUUGACACACGGGUGUGUGGCUUGGCCGUGUAGCCCAAGUCAGAGAGAUACACGGGCACAAACACAGGCUAGGACACGGCCGUGUGUCCCUACUUUUAAUGUCCACACGGCCUGAGACAUGAGUCGUGUGAGUUACACAGCCAUGUGACCCCUGCAGUAUGAAAUUUUCUAACUAUUUCCAUAUUCUUUCAUAUGUCCCCAAUUUAGUCCUGAAUCAUUUUUAAACUAUUUUUAAGGCCUCAAGGGUUCAAAUAAAGGAUGAUAUGUAUGUGUUUGAACAAGUUAUGAUAUGAUUUAUGAAAUGUUUGCAAACAAAUUAUUUAAGUUGCAUAUUUACAUUAAUGCUCUGUAACCUUAUUCUGGAGACGGAUACAAGUUAGGGGUAUUACAAAGUUUACUGAUAAUAUAUCGAUGAAGUUCAAGGGUUUCAAAAUUGGAUUGGUAGGCAAACUAUAGACCACUAGUUCAUGGUUUAACUGGUUCAAUCGAUCCAAUUGAUUCAAUUGAAUAAAUUAUUAAAAAUAAAAAUAUUUAAAAAUAAAUAAAAUCAAUUCAAUUGUCAAUUUGAGUGAGUCAAUUGGUUUAACCAGUUCAUGAGUCAACCAAUUUGACCUUUUAUUCCAAACUAGUAUCUCGAACGAUUCCCAAUCCGAUCGAUUUGACCAGUCAAUCCGAUUUGGUUCUUAAAACAAUAACAAAACUUCAUGUGUUUAAUUUAAUACAUUAUAAAUAUGCUAAAUUUUCAUUUAUAUGAUAAUUUUCACAAUUUUAAUUUAUAAACCCUAGACUUUUAAUUAAAAUCUAAGUAAGUACAAAAAAAUUUAUAUGAUUGAACUAAUUAGGCCACCAGUUUGCUAGUCCAAUCGGUUUAAUCAGUUUGACCGAUACGAUCGGUUCGACCAAUCUACCUGAUUCUAUUAAAUAAAUCAUUAAAAAAUCAUAAAUAUAAAAAUAUAAAAAAUAUUAUUUUAGUUCAACCGGUUCAACUGCAUAACCAAUCGGUUAGUAUUGAUUCCUGGGACAGCUCGUUUAAUGACUUUCGUCAAACAAGUACUUUGGCUGAUUCCCAAUUCGAUUGGCCAAACUAAUCUUGUUCAAACAAUAAUGUUCAAAAUCCUCCUAAAUAAUUAAAUCUUAAAGAAAAAACAUUUUUAAAACUUAAAAUUAGUUGAAAUCCAAAUCAAUAAAUUUAAAUCAAUUCAAAAUUUUAAAUUUCAAAUAUUUUUAUUACCAAAUAAAAUAUUUAAAAAUAAUGAAAUCAUAAAUUUCGAACUUAGAAAUUGAUAUUUCAAUUCUCAAACAAUAGCUAAUAGUUUGGACGGGUUUGCAGCACUCACAAAAUCAUUUAAUACUUAGUAACACAAGAAUGCACCUUAAUUGCUCUUUUUUUUUUUUAACCAUGUUUUUGGUUGUUUACAAAUAAUUUUGCAUAAAGAAAAAAAAAUCAUAUUAUAGCAUAACCAAUAGUAUUAUUCUAAAUUAGAAAAUCUUAUUAUAAGUGCAUACGUGUAAAAAUUACAAAUUUAGAAUAUAGAUAUAUGUUUAAAAAUAUCAUUUAAUAAUAAAUAAUGAAACUUAUGGUUUGAAACUAAUUAAUCAUAACAACACAUGAAAUAUAUAUGAUACUAAAAUUAAAAAAUAAAUUAAAUUAUGAGUAAAAUGAAAUUAACCACAUACAUACAUCAGAUAAAUCAUAAUUAAUUUUAAAUUAAUUACACAUUGAACUGGAAAAGAAAAACCGUUCAUAUCCUUUUUCUUUUAGUUUUCUUUUCCAUUUUGAUUGAAAAAAAAAUUUAUUCUCAUCCUAGUUAGACAUCUAAAUUGGCAUUUAAAACUCAUUUAGACCGCCACGUAGAAUUGCUUUUAGGGAGGUAACGGAGCUUAACGGCAGAAUGAGUACUACUUCGUAACAAAACGAUAACAUAAGUAACUAGAAUGUAACAUUUCAAACAUAAGUGACUAAAAUGUAAUAUGAGGAAAACAAAAGUGACUAUUUUUGUCGUUUAUCGUAUUAUUAAUUUUUUAUUUAAAAUUUAAUUUAAUUAGAAUUAAAUUAAAAUAUAAUUUUUUUAGCAAAAUUUGAUUAAUAACUUAUCCCUACUAAUUAUUUGAUUGUUAAAAUUCAAACUAUUUAUGCAAAGUUUUUAUUUUUAUCCUAAUAAUUAUUUUUGAUGUGUGUAGUUAACGUUGAAAACCUUAAUUUUCCCUGUUAAUUACUUUACUAUGAUUUCAGUCGUGAAUAUGUUAUUUUGAAUUUUACGUCAUCAGUCAAUCAGACUUUAUAAUUUAGUUGUCAAAAUUCAAAUUAUUUAUACCAAGUUUAUAUUUUAAAACACACAUAAGUUAUUACUUCUUGAUCAUAGGUCAGAUUGAUGUAAAAUUUUAAGUUCGAGCUCGGCUCAGAAAAUGAGUUUAAAAUUUUACUCAAGCCCAACCUAAAUUAAUAAUGCUAAAAUUGAGCUCGACCGGGUCUUCCCAUAUUGAUUUUUUUUAGAUUUUUUAUAUAAAAACAAAUUUUAAAAAUAUAAUAUAUCAAAUGUAAACACCCUAUACCUGACCUAGACAUUACGGUCAAAUCAUGGAGAUUACAUCUAACGAAUGGAAAAUUCAAUUGAACAACUCUUUUUUGAAAACACAAUGAUUCUCCUAAAUCGUAGCUUAAUUGUGUUACUAACAUCAAAAGCAAUUUACAUGAAAACAUUUGCGUGCUAACAAAAAAAAAACAUUUUGAGAGAAUUUCAGUUAAUCUUACAGUGAAAAACCUUAUAGUUUUUUAUAUAUAAAAUCGUGGUUCAUUUUUAAUUAUCAUAGGUUAAGCGUUUUUAAUGACUAAAGCCUUUGCUUAGUAAAUAUCAAAAUAGUCCUAACUAAACAAAAAUAAAAAUGUUCAAAACGAAAUAAAAACCCAAAACAGUCAAAAAAAUGUCCAUAAUAACAAAUAAAAAGUCCAAAGUGUUUAAACUAAAAUGUGUAAUUCGAGCUCCAGAGUCGCCAUCUAAUCCUAAGUCGAAAGAUCACCUGAAACAAAGAAAAACAUAGGCGUGGGCUUUAAGCCCAAUGUGUGAUUUGGCCCAUAAUUUCAAUAAUUUCAAUACAAGCAAUCAUCAAUUUGUUUCAUAGCAUAUCAGGCUUCAUAACUAGACAUAUUUUAUCAUAUCAUAUCAUAUCAUAUCAUAUCAUAUCAUAUCAUAUCAUAUCAUGUCCUACUCCCAUCCGCUACAUAUUGUCUCCGUCCAGCCAAUCAUACCAUAUAAGACUACUAGAGUCCAUCUAUUUAGUCACUUCAAUAGGUAGCAAUGUGCCACUUAUAUAAUUGCAGUUGAGCUGCUAUACAUAAAUUUGUGGUCUAGCCGCCACAAUUAUAGUAUAAACUAUCAUAUAAUGUAACACCCCAAACUCGGCCUAGACGUUAUGGUCAAAUCUGGCGUGUCACAUUGAAGUGUCUUUCGAAAAGUAGACUUGUUGGUAACAAUUCGUUUCUAAGUUUAAAACCCCUUUAUUAGUGUUUAACAAAACAUCUAGUCAAACGUUUACCUUGUUAUCUACUUUAGUUAUAAUGGGUUGAUUUUAAAUCGCGGCAACUUUUGAAAACUCUGAUCAUUUAAAUUUAGUAUCUUUGAAAAUAGUAAUUAUUUUGAAAAUUCGUCUUCUCUUAACCUAGUAGUUUAAGGUAAAUAAGCAAAAGCCCAAUUAGAAAUUCAAACAAACUUAAAGGCCUUAUUACAAAAACCAACCCAACAUAUAAUUUAAAUUUAAAAUAAAAGCAACUGUAAACAGCAGCAGUUGUGUGGCCACCUCCGAGUCCCUCGCAGCACUGAAUCGCCUAUAGCUGAGGAUUACCUGCACAGUUAAAAGGAGAGAGUGAGUUUACAAAACUCAGUGUGUAAUCCUCUACCAAACAGUCAGUAUACAACAUGCAGUAACAAACUGAGCUUGAGCCCUAUUCAGUAACAGUACAGUGAGGGCCUUAGCCAAAUACAGUAACAGUGUGGGCCUUAGCCCAAUACUGUAUCAGUACAAUGUAAUAAUACAAAUCAUCCCAAUCCAGUCAACAUACCACUCCGUACCACCAACACACCAUGUGGGGAUAAAAUUGACCCACCCAGCCAACACACCAAUAUCGCAGUAAAAUUGCCAGAAGUAGCAUCGCAGCAAAGCUGCUAGUAACAGUAUUGAAGCAAAGCUGCCAGUAACAGUAUCGCAGCAAAGUUGCCAGUAACAGUAUACUCCCUCCAUUGCAGUAUCCCAACCCCAUGCAAUAUGUCAUGUCAUAAAUCAUACGUGUAUGCAAAAUAUCGUAUUCAAUCAUAGUCAUACAUAUCAUAUAGCAAAUCGGUCAUACAUACAUAAGGCCAUAACAGUCAUUUUGACUCUUAGGGGUAUAACAGUCAUUUUACCCUAUGGGGGUAUUUCGAUCAUUGUACCCUAUGGGGGUAUUUCAGACAUUUUACCCUAUGGGGUAUUUUAGUCAUUUUACCCUAUAGGGGUAUUUCGAUCAUUUACCCAGAAAUGGCAAGUUGGGCUUAACACUCGAGCGAUCGCACGCCUGUGUGGUCUCAAACGUCGUAUUUAUGGCUUUUUGGUUUCUGCCGUUCUACAGUUACAGUAGGGUGUUUACACACAUAUUUAUGAGAAGAGCGCAAAUCUCCACGUACACCAACCUAUAUUCAAACAUAACCUAAGUCAGUCCUUUAAACACUAGGGUAAAACACCCUCUUAUUAACAAUUAAUCCAAAACACCAUCCUUACCUUGCUUGAAAGAGGGCGACUUUACUCCUCCAAGACCGCCAACCAAAAGUGGUCACACACUUAUCGAUUAUCUGCACCACAGACAGUGAUCUUAAUAACUAAGUUAGGCUAUAUAAGUGGCCAAGAAGGGUAUUCGGUUUUAAGAAAAAGAAUAGAAGAGAAUUGAUUUAAACAAAAAGUGACAAGUAUCAAUACUUUACCGAUAAUCAAAAACACUUACAGCACUGGGACAGCAAAAGCAACGAGGAGAAGAUCGGCGCAGAGAGUGAUAGAACAGAAGGGUGAUAUUCGACUGAACCACACUCAAUAAAAGAAGAUAGCUCAUGGUCAAAAGGAAAAUAAUGGAAGGUAGAAAUCAAAAACAGAAAGAGAAAAAUAUUCGGUUAAAGAAGAAAAGAAAAAGAGAAAGGAGAUUCGACCAACAGAGAAGAGAAGAGGGGAAAAGAGAAUGAAAGAUUCGGCAACAAGAGGAGAGGGAAAGAGAGAAGAGCAUUCGGCAAGCAGAGAAUAUGAGAAGGAAAAAGUAGAAAAGGAAAGCGAACAAACCCGAAAGGUAUUUUAAAACUUGGCAAAAUUCAGUACCAAUAACUAAUAGAUGAAACACGAAACUGACCGAAACCAAAAUAGACAGAAGAAAAACAACCUCAAACAUCGAUUACCUCAAUGGCUAAUGACCAAAUUCGGCACAAGCAUACCCCUAGCCGAAUUCUCAAGCUAGAGUUUCCCCAAACGGCACAACUCUCCUCUCAAAUAACUCCUUGAUUUUCUCCUCGUAUCUAUCCCCUUAUCCCUCAUUGAAUCACUCCACUGAUUUCUCCUCAACUCCUCCAACAAGCCAUUCAAAUUCCAUUCAAACUCCCUUUAGCUGUGUUUCAGUCCAACUCCGCUACCUACACAGCUCAAGCAGCAAAAUAAACACUCCAUUGCAUAACUCAGGACUUGAACCUCAGACCUCACAGUCACACAACACGCCACAUUGCCACCAGACUACAAGCUCUUUUUGUGUCAUAAAACAAACACUAAUAUUUAUAAGGACUAAAUGCCAAUGUCCAGAUUCAUUUAAGAGUAAAACUAAAAAUUCUGCAAAAACCAAGACUUGAACCCAAGCUUCUCAAACACUCCCAUACACACCCAAAUCACUUAGCCAUUAAAGCAAACAAGCAAUUUGCGUCAAAUUAUGCAAAAAUCAAAGACUUAGAUUUUUGGGGCGUUACAUAUAACACUUCUUCCAUUAUAUCAUAACCCACCUCGAAACACAAACAAAUCAUAAUCGUAUAACAUACUUAAAUAUAUAUAUAUAUAUCAUAACUCAAUGGCAUGCAUACUUACAUAUUGUCAUACAAAUCCUUACAUAGCACAUGGUUAAAUGGAACAUUUCCUACUUAACAUACCUCCUAAACUUAUCUGUAUACUUUUACGUACUGAUAUUUAGGCUUUUCUGGCCCCAUACGAUGCCUACGGACCCAGAUUUUGAGUCCCUCAAACUACCCCUAAUUGGGCCCUAAAAUUGGGCAAAAAGGCCUACGCAACCCAAAAAGCUAGCUCGUGUGGUCUAUACGGCCUACCACACGAUCUGCAAAGUUUUACACGGACGUGUGCUCCACACAACCAAGCCACAUAGGCUGUAAGAUUUCAUAUGGCCAUGUGGUGCACAAGAUUUACCACACGGCCUAGCCUAUGAUUAUGUGGCACUAGCCAAUUUCGAUGAACAGCCCCUAUUUUACGAAUUUAACGAGUUUCAAUUCAAUUUUUUGGUUAUUUUCACACACCUGAUUACGUAGUCAACUAACUUCAAUAACGGGAACUCACAAACCUACAAUUACGCAACAGUCGUACCAACAAUAUGUCAAAAAACAUCACCUUAAUACAACAAAAUUAUAGCCCUUAAAAUGACAUUUGAGUCCUUACCACUUGGAAAAUAGCGACUAAAAUAGAACUUAAUCCAUUGAAGGGAUUGGAUUAUCGGUUCCUUUGCCUAAUCAACACAAGAACAUUUAUCACCUUAAGCAAAAAAAAAAUUGAAUCAAAAUAACAGAAAAAAAAGGUACAAGAGGGAGAGGGAACAAACGGUUCUAGGAAAAGAGGAAUAUAAGGAUUUGAUAGACUUAAAAUAAAAUAAAAUAAAAUAAAAAUAGCAAGUUUUAAUUAAUCCAAACCCCACACUUCAGAUUUAAUAGAGUUUAACUAAACUUUAACACCUACGAGAAGCCCAAGCAAAAAGUAAAAUGUAAUCAAACACUUAACCAUUAAACCACUAAACCCAUCAUUAUUAUAACCCAACAAAGAAAUUGAUUUAAGCCCUAAGGUUCAAACUUAACUUAAAGUAAAAAUAAUAAUAAUAGAAAAUCUCAAAACUAGAUAAUUGAACUCAGGACCUAAAACAAACUUUUAAGACAGUUAACCAACGCUCCAAAUCAAAUUACUUAACCAACCUACACAUUCAAAAACCCAAAAUUUGGGGCAUUACAUCAAAUGUACAUAUAUUUAAUUACGUAAUGAUAUUUAAGCUUUUCUGGCCCUAUACGAUACCUACGGACCUAGAUUUCAAGUCCCUCAAAUUGCCUAAAAUUGGGCAAAAAGGUCCAUGCAGCCCAAAAAGCUAACUCAUAAGGUCCAUACGGCCUACCACAUGGUCUGGAAGAUUUUACACGGACGUGUGCUCCACGCCAAGCCACAUGGGCUGCAAGGUUUCACACGGCCAUGUGGUGCACAUGGUUUACCACACGGCCUGACAUAUGAUCAUGUGGCGCUAGCCAAUUUCGAGGAACAGCCUCUAUUUUGCAAAUUUAACGAGUUUCGAUUCAAUUUUUUGGUUGUUUUCACACACCUGAUUACGUAGUCAACUAACUUCAAUAACGGGAACUCACAAACCUACAAUUACGCAACAAUCAUACCAACAAUAUGUCAAAAAACAUCACCUUAAUACAACAAAAUUAUAGCCCCCAAAAUGACAUUUGAGUCCUUACCACUUGGAAAAUAGCGACUAAAAUAAAACCUAAUCCAUUGAAGGGAUUGGAUUAUCGGUUCCUUUGCCUAAUCAACACAAGAACAUUUAUCACCUUAAGCAAAGAACAAUUGAAUCAAAAUAACAGAAAAAAAAAGGUGCAAGAGGGAGAGGGAACAAACGGUUCUAGGAAAAUAGGAAUAGAAGGAUUUGAUAGACCUAAAUUAAAAAAAAUAAAAUAAAAAUAACAAGUCUUAAUUAAUCCAAACCCCACACUUCAGAUUUAAUAGAGUUUAACUAAACUUUAACACCCACGAGAAGCCCAAGCAAAAAGUAAAAUGUAAUCAAACACUUAACCAUUAAACCACUAAACUCAUCAUUAUUAUAACCAAACAAAGAAAUUGAUUUAAGCCCUAAGGUUCAAACUUAACUUAAAGUAAAAUAAUAAUAAUAAUAGGAAACCUCAAAACUAGAUAAUUGAACUCAGAACCUAAAACAAACUUUUAAGACAUUUAAUCAACAUACCAAAUCAAAUUACUUAACCAACCUACACAUUCAAAAACCCAAAAUUUGGGGCAUUACAUCAAAAGUACUAAAAAUAUUAAAAUAAAUGUUUCCCAACAAAUUGAGAAUACAUUGAAAAAGUCUUUAUACUUAAAUAACAUUAAAAAAUAACAUUGAGAUAGUUGCAACUUAGCAAGUAAGUUCCUCCAAAAUAGUAGCAAAAUUAACAAUAAAACAAAAAUUAUACAACAUUCAAAUAAUAACAACAAAAUAGUAGUAAUAAAAUAGUAAAAUGACAACAAAACAACAAUGAAAUGGCAACAAAACAAUAUAUUUGGUCAGGUCAGACUUAGAUCAAAAUUUAUUAAAUAUAUAAUUUUUUAUUAUAUGAUAUAAUUAGUGACUCAAUAGUUACUUAUGAAAACGCCCAAUUGAAUCUAAUUCACAACCUCUUCCAAUUUUUCAUUCCCAGAAAAUUGAAUUUUGUUUCUAAAUUCCCCCUCAAAAUCAUAAUGAUAGAUUUUUUUUUCAUAAUAACUUUUUUUUUUAGCUCCUCUUCAAAUUACUUAAAAAAUGGAUGGAAAAAUUAAUGUUGGUUAAUUUUGUUCAUAUAGUACCUACGUAUAUAUCACGUAAGCAAUUAAUUAAUAUUUUAAGUUAAAAAUAUUAAAAUAUGUUUUUUAUGUUUUAUAAUUUUUAAUACUUUUUUAUUUUUUUAAUAUAUAAUAAAAUAAUUAAUUGCUAACGUGGCAUUCAUGUGGCAAUCUACGUGUAUGUCAUGUCAGCAAAGUUAAUAAAAUGUUUUUUUUUCAUCUAUUUUAGUGUGAUUUGAUAAACAAUACAAAUUUAUUAACUAAAAAUAUGAAAAUCAAAAUGAAAAUGAAAAUAAUUUUUUGUUUAGGUUAUUGAAUCAAAUAAAUAAAUUAUAUAUAUAGACAUAUAUACACACACAUUUGCAUAUAGUACUAUGUGUUAUUUAGCUGUUAGUGGAACAUGUCUCAAAAUUAGUAGUGGGCAGUUUAUGGUUUACAGAUAAACAUGCAACAUCUAUGUUUCUACAUUGCUACAAAAUAACACGAUAAUGAAACCAAAAUUAACGUUGUACACAAAUGACGAAAUAAUAUGGAAAAGUAACUGUGACUUGAUGAAAUAAUAACAACAUAAUAAUACACAAACAUUUUGAAAUUUAUACCUACAAGCUCUCUAUUAAAAGUUUAAUUGUAUUUUAUUUUUAUUUAAAAAUGAGUAAAUUAAUCUCCAUACGUUAAAUUAAAGAGUAACAUGAUUAUUCUAUUAAAAAUUUUAUCUAUUUCUAUUAUUAAAAACUAGUCUCAGUACGUCAGCAUGAGAAAUAUAUGACAUGCCAAAUGUCACAAUUUGAUUAUUUUGUCAACUAUGUCAAUUUUAACAGUACAAAUGGAUAAUUUUUUUAAUAAACAUUAUCAAUUUACUCUUUAAUCUGACAUAUAAGGACUACUUUACCCUUUUAUUUUUAAGUAGAGAGGACAAAAUACAAUUUGACUCUUAAUACAGAAAUCUUCAUAGUACUUUUACUCUAUAAAUUAUAUAUUAACGUGUAAAUAUUUCAUAUAAAUAUGAAAAAUAGGAUACACAUACAUGAAUUGUUAGAUCUAAUAAUAAAAGCAAGUAGUUUAAAAAGGUAUUUAUUUUCCUUUCCAUUUUAAGUAAUUUUUUGUGUUUCCAAAUGAUUGAUGCAUAUCUACUAAUAAUAAUCUAUGAUUAACAUGUUAAGGUAUAUCUAAGAUACGAGUGUCAUAUAUAAAUACCUGAAAAAGAAAAAGAAAGUAAGCUGGGAUCAUUCACCAAUUUUCUUUUAUGUAAGUGAACAGAACAAACAGAGCAGUAGUACAUGUCCGUCAGCCAUUUCCUAGUGCAUGAAUCCGGAGAUGAUAAUCUAGAAUCACAUAAAUAUAAAGAAUUCACUUCUUUUUCUGCAAUUUAUUUAUACAUUUGGAAAUCCAAUUUCAUCUUCUCAAAUGAUAACUUAAAAAUGGUAAAGAGUCAAUAGGGUUAGUUGCGCAAACAAAUGUACUCGCAUGGGAAUCAAGUUCCACAAUUACAAUGAAAGACCUUCCCGUUGAAAGCAAUUUCAAAAGAAACCAUCCUUAGAAUUCAAUGAAUCAUCAAUAUCAUAGUAAGGAAACAUUAUUGUUGCAUGAACUCAAGAUUACCGGAGCCACUGAUUUCAUAUUGCAAAAUCCACAGACUUCAAAUCCUUAUUCUUUCUAUUCCUGUCUCUGAGGUAUCUAUUCUUUUCUUAUUAUAAUACAUUGUUUUGACUAUAUCACACUAUGUAUCAUUUAAUAAUUGAAUAGAUCCCUAUCUUUGAUUUAAAUCGAAUUUGUAAUGGAGGAAUUUCAAAUAUAUUUAGAACUAGAUAGAUCCCGCUGACACGAUUUCCUAUGCCUACUUAUUUGUCGGGAGUAUAUUUAUGCACUUGCUCAUGAGCUUAGUUUAAAAAAAUCGAUGAUUUUUUUUUAAAUCAGGGUUAUGGUAAUAAAUUCAGUUCACUAAUUGUGAAACAUUUAAUUCUUCAAAUAGAUCAACAAAAUCAUUUGAUUAGUUCUGCUAAUGAUUCCAACCAAAAUCUGAUUUUUGGGCACAACAAUUAUUUGUAUUCUCAAAUGAUAGCUGUAGGAUUUGUAGUCCCACUUAUGGGGUCAAAUCCAUACAUUUUGAGAAGAAAUAUUUGAAUAUAAAUCUCAUCGAUCUCAUAAGUAUCAUACCAAAUCCUAUCAAUCGAAUUAUUUUUUUUGAGAAAUACGAGACAUCUACGUCAUACAAGUAAAGAGAUCUAUUCAUUGAUAAGAAAAAUAAAAAACGUGAGCGGUGAUUGGAUUGGUGAGAAAAUAGAAUCAUGGGUUGCGAAUAAUGAUUCAAUUGAUGAUAAAGAAAGAGAAUUCUUGGUUGAGUUCUCCACCUUAACGAAAGAAAAAAAGAUUGAUCAAAUUCUAUUGAGUCUGACUCAUAGUGAUCAUUUAUCAAAGAAUGACUCUGGUUAUCAAAAGAUUGAACAACCGAGACCAAUUUACUUAUGAUACUUAGUUGACAUUCAUAAAAAGUAUCUAAUGAAUUAUGAGUUCAAUACAUCACGUUUAGCAGAAAGGCGGAUAUUCCUUGCUCAUUAUUAGGCAAUCACUUAUUUACAAACUUUAUGUGGGGCUAAUUGUUUUCAUUUACUGUCUUGUGGAAAACCCUUUUCGCUUCGCUUAGCCCUAUCUCCCUCUAGGGGUAUUUUAGUGAUAGGUUCUAUAGGAACCAGACGAUCCUAUUUGGUCAAAUACCUAAUGACAAACUCCUAUGUUCCUUUCAAUACAACAUUUCUUAACAAGUUCCUAGAUAACAAGCUUAAAGGUUUUCUUAUUGAUGAUAUCGAUAUUGAUGCUAGUGACAUUAUUGAUCGUGACCUUGAUACGGAGCUGGAGCUUCUAACUAUAAUGAAUACGUUAACUAUGGAUAUGAUGUUGGAAAUAGACUGAUUUUAUAUCACCCUUCAAUUCAAAUAACUAAAAGCAAUGUCUCCUUGCAUAAUAUGGAUUCCAAACAUUCAUGAUCUAGAUGUGAAUGAGGCGAAUUACUUAUCCCUCGAUUUAUUAGUGAACUAUCUCUCCAAAGAUUGUGAAAGAUGUUCCACUAGAAAUAUUCUUGUUAUUACUUCAACUCAUAUUCCCCAAAAAGUGGAUCCUACUCUAAUAGCCCCGAAUAAAUUAAGGCAAAGAGAGACGAUUUCGCGAGACUUAGCUUGGCAAACAAGUUGAUUAUUCGAGAUGUUCUGUCAUUGUUAUUGGCCCUUCACUUUUAUUACAUCGCUGUGGAUUGCCUCACGAAAUAGAAAUAGAGCUUUUCCAGACAUUUGUAAUUCGCGGUCUAAUUAGACAACAUCUUGCUCCGAACAUAAGAGUUGCUAAGAGUAAAAUUUGGGAAAAAAGAUCGAUUGUAUGGGAAAUACUGCAAGAAGUUAUGUGGAGACAUCAUGUAUUGCUGAAUAGAGUGCUUACUUUGCAUAGAUUAGGUAUACAAGCAUUCCAACCUAUUUUAGUGGAAGGAUGCGCUAUUUGUUUACACCCAUUAGUUUGUAAGGGAUUUAAUGCAGACUUUGCUGGGGAUCAAAAUGACAUUUCAUAUACCUUUAUCUUUAGAGGAACUACUAAGUACUUAUCAUUAAAAGGAACUACAAACAAUCAAUGUAUAAUGCAUAACACUAUAAGUUUAUGUACUCAUAUUACCAUCUUUAAAAAAACUCAAAUAAAGGAAAAAAAUAAAUUGACAAUAAUCACAGCAUUGGAAAAAAUUAAAAAAAAUUCAGAGAUGCAUCGCUUUAAUCAAUUUGCUAAUAUUUACAUCUUAGCUUUGCCAUCAUUAGAAGCCCUAAGAGAUUCUUUACAUCGUAUGCACAAAAAGUCAAGUAUUAAUGGCCUACCUUUCUCUACAUUUUAAAGUCCAAUUUUGCAAACACUCUCCUAACGAGGUUCUUUGAGUUCCCAAUAGAUUUGGUAGUGCCUUUACUUGAUCGGUCUCAUUUAUAUGUCAAAACAUGAUUAGAGACAAAACUAAAACCAUCACCACUUUCAGUGAAAACUGAAAACAUGGUAAAAUAAAAUCACCAAAAGAACAAGCGCACUGAAACUACAACCAUAACAGUUUUUUUUUUUAAACAAUGGAGUAAAACUAAAAACUAAACAAAAUUGUUGAAACAGUGGUGACCGGUAAGUAGCCCAGAGGUGGGUGUGGCUGCCGGCAAGACCAAGUUAUUAACUUUAAAUUAAGAAAAAGUAAGGUGGUAGUUGUAGGCCAUACAGUUUUAUUUGCUUUCGGUGGUGAAGCUCUGAUUAUUCAAUUCAUAAAUUAAUUGAAAAAAAAAAAGGAACAAAUUUGCAGCAAAGUCAAGAAAGUACAAGGAAAAAGAGAAUAGUAUGGUUAGCCCCACUUCACUUUAAAUUAAGAAAAAUAAAGGUAGUAGUCGUAGGCCUUUGCGCCUCCACUACAUAGUGGACUUUCUUUUAAGUGUUGACUGAUGAUUCCAUUCAUAAAUGAAUUGAGAAACGAAAUCACUUGAAACUUGCAAUAAAGUGAAUAAAGUAGAAGAAAAAGAAUAUUGAUAUAUCAACUUAUCACCAUUUUUAUGAUUAUUAUUUCUUUAGAUAUAAGUCUUCUAAACAAUAUAAUCUUUAUUAUAAAUAUGACAUUACAAAUUCAAUAAAUAAAAGUAAACUUGAUAUUAAAAGUUUUAUUUUACUUUUAUCAAUCAACCCAUUUACUCUAUUUCCUAAAUUUUAGAUUUUAUUUUAUGAUAUAUAUAGUCAAAAUUCAAAAAUAACAUAAAAUUUCAUGGAAUCUAGUUUUUCCAGAUUAGCAACCAUUUAUACUAUUCCUAGCUCAGGAAAUUGGUUCUUCAUUUACAAGUUGAGUCUCAAAAUCAAAGUCCUCCACCUAAUGUAUAUUAUGUUGAUGUGAUAUGUCUCUAAAUUAUUGAGUGGAAAUUUUAUCAUGGAUUCAAUCAUUUUCAAUGCUACAAAAUGACAUAAUAGCAAAACCAAAAACUUAUCCUUAAAACAAAACCAAAACCUUAACUCAAAUAUUACAUAUGAAAUAAAUAAUUAAAACAUAAGGUGUGAAAUCAGGUUAUGAGAAAUAAGAAGAGCAUAAUGAAGAAAACUGUCUCAAAAUUUAUAUUAUACAAGUUAUUAACAAAUCAAAAUUUAUAUAAAUAUAUAAGUUUUAUAUAAUUCCCUGUUGGGUCGAGAAUGCAUUAUUAUCUCUAAUUCCCUAUUAAGUCAAGAAUAGUUCUCAAACACCCUAUUGAGUCAAGAACACAAUGUUAUCUCUAAUUCCCUCUUGGGUCAAGAACAUAUCAUUAGCUCCAAUUCUCAGUUGGGUCAUGAGAGUGUAUUGUUGUGGUAAUACACGUUUUCGAACAUGAAAUCAGCUAAUAAAGGUUAAGGUAUAAAGAUCGUAGUUGCUUGUUUGAAACAUGGUUAAUUAAUGUAGAUACAUUGAGGGUGCUUAUAAAUGAUAAUAAAGAAAAUAUAGUGCAUGAGGGUGGACUAUGAUAACAAAAUGCAUUUGUAAAAUGGUAAUAAUACUAAAUAAAAACAAUAAAUAAUUUACUUAAUAAAAGAUAAAGAUAUCCCAUAAAAGAAUAAGCAAUCAUUCAUUUGGAUGCCAACCAGCUUUGCAAUCAAUCGUAUAAAUUAUUCAUGUAACAAGUGGAGAUAGAUUAGGAUCGUUUAGCUCGAAGGCAUCUAAAGAUUACUGUUCAACUUCAUUUAAGUUAAUUAGUCAUUGUGAAUAAUUAGAUGAGUUUGGCAUGUACAUAGAUUUAAAAUAGAUGUUGGAGUCAUUUGAUGAUGUGGUAUCUAUAAUGUUGAGAAAUUGUAGUCUAGGUAUGUAUAUAUGUAUGUAAUGGUACUUAUAUAGGGUUAAGAUCGUAUGCACUGAUCUUUAUACAAUGUUUAUUACAAGUUUCACGUGUUUUUUGCGUGCCAAGUAAACUAAUUUUGAUGAUUGAAUUUGGAAAGGCUAUUAUUAUGUUGGUGGUCAUAUUGUUGGAUGUGUUUUGACAAGCAUAAAUGGUGUUUGGGACAUGAAUUUUGAGUCCUAUAAGUCUUGAAAAUGAAUUGGUAUAUGUUAUCAAAUCAGGUGAAAUCAGGUGAUUUUAGGGAUUGUUCCAACAAACUUAUUUUGAUAUAAGAGAUCAGAUGUAUCGGUACAACUAAGUCAAUCUCCAAAAUUGAACGAUAACAGGAACUUGUAGCGAUACAACUAGGUCAAUCAAUGUCUCCUCCCUUGUUUUAAGUCAUUUUGAUCCUUGGACACCCUGACUUGGUCCUAAACAACUUUGGUCACCUAGAACUCAUAUUAAAAUGUUCUAAAUGAAUUUAAAUGACUUAUAAACAUUUUUAAUCAAGGCAAAUAGUUUUCUAUGAAUGAGUAAAUGUUUGUGUACAAGUUGAUUUUAGAGUAUGUGCUUUUCUCUCUUUACCUACAUUUAGAGACAGAUUAGUAAAAAUAAACAAGACAGAGGAUAUAUGCCAUGUCCACUGCAAACUACUUCGUAGCUAUUACAAUGAAGAAUAUUUUGCCUUUCAUCCAACUCAAGCAACAUGCAGCAUAAAUUUUCCCUAUACAUAAACAAAACAUACCAUAAAUCAUUUUGCAUAAGCACUAUCCGUUGGUCGAAUGCUGACCAGUCAAGCCCUACCAACUUUUAAUUUGAGUAUUUUUUAAGUAGAUAUGUUUGAGUUAUUUAUAUUUUAUAUAAUUUUUCUCUAUUACAUAAACAAAACAUACCAUAAAUCAUUUUGCAUAAGCACUAUCCGUUGGUCGAGUGUUGACCAGUCAAGCCCUACCAACUUUUAAUUUGAGUAUUUUUUUAAGUAGAUAUGUUUGAAUUAUUUAUAUUUUAUAUAAUUUAUAUUAUUUAUAUUUAGGCGAGUAUUGAUUCACAUGUAUAAUUUAUAUUUUUUUUACUUGACAAGGAACCUUAAAAAAUUGUUAUAUAUUUUUAAUUUUAAUAUUUUACGAUAUCUUUAUAAAAUAUUUGUUAACCUCUGACCCUACUUAUGAAAUCUAAAAUUUUUAUUGAUAGUGUACCAAAUAUUAUUUCUUUAUAUAUUAUAAAAGUAAAAUUUCAUAAAUUUAAGAAAAUCAAAAUUUUAUAUAAUUUUUAAAAAUUCAUUUUGAAUUUGAAAUUAAAACUUUUAAUAUUUAUUUUAAAAUUUUGAUAUAAUAUUUUUAAUUUUUAUAAUUAACAUUGUAGAGAAAUAAAUCUUAGUAAACGUAUUUUUUGAAUUUCUACUCCAAAAAUGUGUCAAUUUUUUUAAAGAAUUAUUUAAAACUUGAUUCAAUUCGAAAAAAUUGAAAAAGAAGAUAAUUUGAAAUAAUUUGACUAAUUGAUUGGUGUAAGCCUAAGUUUGAAAUAAUAUUUUUUAUUAGCAAAAGUUGUAAAUUUAUUUUAGUUCAUUUUAUUACAAUUUAUUUAUAUAUCUUUAAAUAAAAAUAAACAAUUAAAGAAUAAAAAAAUAAAUCAAUAAAAUAAUUUAUUUUAAUACACACCUUAAUGUUAAUGGUAAUAAUACUAAAUAAAAACAAUAAAUAAUUUACUUAAUAAAAGAUAAAGAUAUCCCAUAAAAGAAUAAGCAAUCAUUCAUUUGGAUGCCAACCAGCUUUGCAAUCAACCAAACUUACACAUCACACUUUUUGUUUCAUGUCUAUCCAAAUAUGAAUGCAAUACCACCCUCUUCACUUCUUCUUUUCUCACUCACUGCCCCUUCUACAUCAUGACUUCACCCCCAAUUUCAAUGACAGGGAUGUGGGAAAUGUUGGCCCAAUCUUUGCCUUUCUCCUUUUUACAACGUUUCUCCAGCAAAGGACAGUUCCUAAUGUAAAAAAAAGAGAGGGAGGGAGGGAGCAUGUUUGGGGGCAUGGAUUGGAGCUUGGGACAACUGUCGAUAAGCAAUCUGGAAAGAGAGGUGAGGUGUUGAAACCCCUUAUACUCCAAACUCUUUAGAUUUGGAAGUUGAGAGAGCCAGAGAGUUUCAAGAGAAGAGGGAAGCAGAUGUUCAUCUGGAAAACACUCCAUCUCUACUUCUGAAAAUGAGAUCUCGAGAUCUGUAAGAGAAGGGAGUGUAUGCAAACUCCAUUCCCUUUUCCUAAUCAAGCUCUCAAUUAGUUUAUCACUGCUUCCGAUUGUAAUUCUUUUUAAUUUGGAGGGCAAACCCUCUUUUGGAACCCUCUCUAUUUCUGGACAUACAAGUAUUUUCAAAUCCUCAAGGGAUGGAAAGACAGAGUGCAUUUGCUCUGGCAAUGACUUUAAACUAGGGCAACCCAAAAGCGUAAGCCGGGUCAAAUUGGUUACAGCUAAUCCAUCUUCAAUUUGAAAAGAUUUCAAAUUUUGGCACCACUAUAUUUCCAAAGAAUUGAGACAUGUUAGAUGCUGGUGGUGAGAGCCCUCUAAAGCAGCACUAAAAAACUUCAAGUCUUCACAUCCAGAAAUUUCAACAUGCUUUAGCAUAGGAAACGGUCCUAAUGAGAAAGAUUCCAGUUGAUCACACUUUGUACCUUUUAUCUUCAGAGAUUCAAGGGAUGUAUACAAGAAGAUUUUGGAAUGAUUAAAAGCUUUGCACUGCUCGAUCCUCAGUUUUUUCAGUGUAAUAGACACACUAUCCUCAGGAAGGGAUUUGAUAUUAGAACAACCAGAGAUAAUUAACUCGUCGAGAUGAGUGCAGUGUUUCAACAUCUGUUCCAAUAUGGAAUCAUUCAUACUCGAACCUUUGAUGCCCAACUUUCGAAGCCCACAAGGCAAUGGCUCCAAUUGCAGUGCAUCGCAUCUUUCUAACUCAAGUUCACAAAUGCCUGGUGUCCUUGGGAGAAAACAUUCAAGCUUCUCACAAUUUGCAAUCACCAAUUUCUUUAAAGAGGGGAGGUGUUUGGGUAUUGACUUGAUUAGCUUUGGACAAUCCCUGAUGCGUAGCUCUUGCAGAAGGGAGAAAGCUUCAUCACUCCUACACAACCAUUCUUCCCACCCAGCCAUAUUCUCAAACACUAGGAUUUCAAGAGAUCCAAAUGGUUUAGUCGAAGCUUGUCCAUUACUAUAGAACUCCUCGCCAACUAUUACAACUUUCCUGAACCCAGAAAUGGAGAGAGAUUUCAAAGAUGAUAAUUGGCCAAGCGGAGGCAAAGAUAUGCAAAAUUUACAAUCUUGCAACUCCAAAGAUAUCAUAUUUGAGAAGGACAAAUGCCCCACCCAUUCUGGAAAUCUCCUGCCUUUGUAACUUCCGAUAACUAGAUGCUUCAAGUUUGUAUUAGGCUCCAAUUGUUCCAAUACUUCUCUAUCAUGCUUUGAGUCACCAGCAAUAUCAUAAUAUUCAUCCCAUGUCAACUUCAACUCCUUAAGAUUAACCUUAUCCUUCAAAUUGGCAUCUUUGGCAUCCCUGGCAUUUACAACAUUUUUCAGUCUUGAAAUGGCAAGUCUUCCCCGUAAGUGCUUGAGCUUUCCCAACUCAUUAAUGCUUGAGCCAGUUUGAUCACCUAUAACAAAAUCUGUUAAGAUUCGAAUAUCUUUCAACUUACCCAUCCCUUCUGGCAUCCUAGUUAACUUUGUUCCCCUAAUAUCAAGAUAAAGCAUGUUGAUCAAUCUCCCCAUGUCUCUCGGCAACUCAACAAGGUCACUGCAUACAUGCAAUGUCAAUGCUUGCAAAUUAUACACCGUACACAGAGAAUUUGGCAACCUUGUGAUUGAAGUUUUUGAGAGAUUCAAAUUUCGUAGAUGCUUCAAGUUACUAAUUUCUUUUGGCAAUUCUUUGAUAUUUGUAUACCCAGCCAAAGAAAGCACUCGUAAGCUUGAUUUCAUCAACAAAUCAUGCAUUAGCACAUUGCUAACACUACAAUAGGAAGAAGACUUCACAGUUAGGAAAGCACGCAGACAUUUUGCUUUAGGUAAGCUCUGAAAUUUUUGUCGCACAUCAUAAAAUUCUUGGACAUUGGACAAAUGACGGGUCUUUUCAGUUAUUACACAAGAACCACCACUCCCUUCCAAUCUGCAGAUGAAUUCUCCGGUGACAGAUUUAGCCAAGUCACUAAUUAGAUCAUGCAUGACAAAACAAGAUUUCUCUCCUUUUGAUUGUUGAAAAAAGGACCUCAAUCUCAAAUCUUUGAAGUACUCGUUACCCAGUUCUUCUGGAUUUCCAUUAUCUUUCGAAAGCUGUAAAAGUCCUUCAGCCAUCCAUAAUUGAAUAAGUUCUUCCUUUUCGAAUUCGUAAUCUUUAGGAAAAAUUGAACAAUAAGCAAAACAUCGCUUUAAAUGUGAAGGAAGAUAAUGAUAACUUAAUGCUAGCGCUGGAAGAAUAUUACUUGCAGUAUUUGGUAUGUCCCAAAAAUUGCUAUGCAAGAUUUUGUUCCAUUCAUCAGCGUCUAGUUUACAGCGAAGGAGACCUCCAAGUGUUUUUGCAGCCAAAGGAAGGCCGUUACACCUUUUCACGAUUGCUUCACCAAUUGCCUUGAGAUCCGGAUGCGUACUUGGGGUUGUACCAACGAACGCAUGCUUUGCGAAUAACGUCCAACAAUCAUCAUUAGAUAAGGUCUUCAGAGGAUAAGUUGGAAUAGUCCUCAUAAUGUCGGCAACANNNNNNNNNNNNNNNNNNNNNNNNNNNNNNNNNNNNNNNNNNNNNNNNNNNNNNNNNNNNNNNNNNNNNNNNNNNNNNNNNNNNNNNNNNNNNNNNNNNNUUACAAUCGAAUCACGAGUUCACGGUCAAAUUUGAAAGGAAUGCUGAGCUGCUCCCACACAGCAUAGUUUUCAUUCCAAACAUCAUCCAUAAUGAUUAGAUAUUUCUUUCCCAACAGCUGCUCUUUGAGUUUAAGUUGAAACUGAUUUAAGUUCUGGUUUCCAUCACAGCUACAUUUGGUUUCUUCAAGAAUGGUUUUGGUUACCUUGAGAGCAUCAAAUUUCUCUGAAACACACACCCAUGCUUUGGGGUGAAACCAUUUAUCCACUCUGGGGUCAUUGUAGAUCAAUUGGGCAAGGGUGGUUUUUCCAAGCCCGCCCAUACCCACAAUGGGAAUCACAUCUACCUGAUUUUUAGGCAGAUUUUGAGGAUCCAACAACUUCAUUAUUUCUUCUUUUUCAUCAUCUCUACCACAAACAUCAGACUCGUCCACCAAAGAAGUUGCAGGCGUUCUUUGAAAUGCCUUUUCUCCUUCAGAGUUUUCUUUCAGACCCAGAAUCUGUUUUUGGUUCAGUAGGUUGUCUAGUCUCCCAAGGAUCUCCUCUAGCUUUGACUGCGCCCCAUCUUUGAAAGGAUUCAAAGAAGAGAAAAAGCUACUAACCUGCUUCAUAUUAGUAGUUUGAUAUUCUGAUUCAAUCUUGUUCCGAAGAGCUUCAGUAGAGAUCUCGUCCAGGAGGUCCUCGGCAUCAUAAACAGCAUCUUUGAGCUCAUCGGUCCAACUUUUGACAUUUGGGUUGGCAAUCUGCUUAUUUUCAGCAUCAUCCAACACUGCUUUCACCGACAUCAAGGUUGGCUUGAGUUUGUUCAGCAGCACAGCUUCAAGUUUCUUUCCUUUGAUAAGCCUCAGAACAUCGGCAGAAACAAUCCUAUCAAGCAGCACCUCAAUGGAAGCAGAGAGAAAAGCUUCACCCACCAAAGCCAUGUUUUUUUGUGGGGUUUUUUGGUAAAGAAAGGUUUAAAGGAAGAUGAAAAGGGAAGUAAUAACAAAGAAAGGAAAAGAAGAGUGCUUCAACUAAAGAGAAGACACGGUUGCAAAGAUGAAGGAUUUGAAUUUGAAACAGAGAAAGGAACAGUAGAAGGAUUGGAUGAAAGGGGAAGGCUUUAACUCGCAAAUACUUUAGUUUCAAUAAAGAUGAAGCAGCCUCAUCCAAUUUGUGUAUAAAAUUUCUUUAUUGGAAUGUUUGAAAACAUGAUUUUGGGUUGAAAAUUUUAAAUUUUUUUUAUAACGUAUAAAAAGUAUGGAAAAUUAAUGUAUUACACAAAUGAUGAAAUAAUAUGGAAAACAAUAUAAUAAUAUAAAAAUAUUUUGAAAUUUAUAUUUACAAAUUAAGUAAAAGUAUUAUGGAGCUCUUUCUACUAAAAGUUAGAUUCGUAAUUUAUUUUUUAUUUAAAAAAAAGGGUAAAUUAAUCUCCGUACAUUAAAUUAAGAGUAAAAUAAUUAUUUUGUUAAAAUUUUUAUCCAUUUAAAUUAUUAAAAAUCGGUCCUAGUAUAUCAAUUUUUAACAGUACAAAUGGAUGAAAUUUUUAACAAAAAAGGAUCAAUUGGUUCUUUGAUCUAACGUAUAAGAACUAAUUUACUCAUCUUAUAGUGAAUGAGAUAAAAUAAAAUCUAACUCUUAAUAUAGAGAGCUCCAUAAUAUUUUACCGUGCAAAUUAUAUAUUAACAUAUCAAAGAAAUUUAUAUAAAUAUAAAAAUACGAUACAUAUCCAUAAAUUGUUAGAUCUAAUUAUAAUAGCCAAGUAGUUUAAAAUAAAUAAAUAUCAGAAUAGAGAAAUGAGAUUAAUAUUCACGAAACUAGAUAAAAGGAACAGUAAAUAAUUGGUGCUGCCUAACUAAUUGACGGCACCCUCUUAUUUAAAUUGAUGAUACCUAUAUUUCAAACCAAAAUACGAAUUUAUUUUAAAAGGAUAAUAAAUAAAACGAAAUAAUAAUAAUUUUUUAUUCCCAGAUGGCACCCUAUUAUUUUUAAAAGAAAAAUUGUUUUUUGUACUCUCCUUAUGUAUAUCCAUAAGGAACCCCCAUAAGCCAUAAGCCAUUAAAUGCUUCCAUCGAGUAACCAGUUCAUGACAAAGGACACCCACCGAGGACAGUGUAGCCAUAAAGCCCCAAAGCUCCAACCCACUAUGAAAUAUCCAACGCCAAUGAAGCACCAAUCACACGCCAAUCCAACAUAUUUACGAACACCCAACUCGUCAACACAUUCACCCCUAAAGCACAAAACGAGACAUAGGCUAACACCCUAGUCUUCAACUGGCUUUGCAAGAACCUUUGUAAUGGGAACUGAAACGCAAAGCUAAAGUGCAUAGGUAUCAACCAAAUCGCCACCACCCCCGACAUCUCCCCCACGUCGUCCAGCUGUCCGAAUAGCUUUAAAACCGGGGUAGCAAAUACGUAAAUGGGUAACAACAAAAGAGUAAAACGAUCCAUGAUCUUUGCAUGUAAAGGCCCAACAUGUGGUAUUGUUUAGCACCAAAAGCUUGUCCACAAAGGGUUUCUAAAGCACUCGCCAUUCCUAAUUAUAGUAAAGUGAAAAAAGAAAACUAAUGUUAAGAGACAAAUAUGGUAAAAAGAAAACUAAUGGAACAAAAAAGAAAGCCUGAUCUAAUGAAAAUUUACUAUGAGGCCAAAGUUGAAGCCAACGAUGGCCGUAUUGGCUAUUGAAAUAGCUGCAAGUUGAACAUCACCAAGGUGACCAGCAAAAGCUUGGGUUAUAAUGUUCAUGGAGUAAGAAGCAACAGGAAUGAUGAUUGAAGGUCCUACGAUGACCCAUAGCUUCUUUGUUUUGAUCCAUAGUCUUGUACUUAAGUCCUUCUUCGCCAUCUUCAUCUCUCCAUAUAUUUUCUUCUGGUUUUGAUUCUUCAUGAUUUGAACUUGGUUCUGUUAGUAAAGGUUGAUGGUAUUCGCCACUGUUCCCAUGGAUACUAUCCAUUAGAGACAAAAUUAAAAUAAUAGACUAUGGGCUAUCUUAGAUUUGCUUGGGACAAAAAAUAAUUUAAAAAAUUAAUAAUAAUAGGGUGCGCCAGACAAGUUGCAACCACUAAUAAAAAGAUAAUUUUUUUUCGAUUUAUUCCACAUUGUAAAAACUUUUGUAUUUUGGUUUGAAAUACAGAUGCCGCUAAUUCAUCAGGCUAAUUCAUCAGGCUGCGUCUAAAUAUUUAAAAAAAAAAUAAAGGGGUGCCAUCGAUUGGUAAGCGGUAUCAAUUGUUUACUGUUCUCUUUGUCCGUAAAUAUUAAUCUUCUUAUCUUAUUCUGGUAUUUAUUUAUUUCUUUUAUAUCAUUUAUAUAAAAAUACCCUAUAGUAUCUGAACUUGAUUAGAGGUGCAGGAACAAGAGCAGCACUAGUAACCAAGAAAUACACCAAUACCCAGAUUAGAGGUGAUCUUGGCCUGGCCGGGCUGAGCCUCAAUAGAAUUUUAGGUCCAUUUUUUAGGCAACUUGAAAAUGGACUUAAAAUUUUGCCCAAAUAAAAAUGCUAAUAUCUAAGCCUAGCCCGACCGCCAGUAUUAAAAUUUUUAUAUUAUUAUUUUUAUAUAAAACAAAUUUAAAAAUAUAAUACACUAAAAAUAUUUAAAUAAAUAUUUCUCAACAAAUUAAAAAUAAAUUAAAAAGUAUAUACAUACUUAAAUAACACUAAAAUAGGUGUAAUUUAGCAAGCAAAUGCCUAUAAAAUAAUAGCAAAAUUAACAAUAAAACGAGAGUUAUACAAUAUUCAAAUAAUAUCAAUAAAAUAGUCACAAUAUAAUAGCGAAAUGACAACAAAACAUUGGUAAAAUAGAAUCAGUUAUUUUUUGCAAAUUUAGGCCAGGCAAAAAAAACUUACCCAAAACCUAACUCAUUUAGAAAACAAGUCUCAUUUUUUGCUCAAGCUCAUUUUGUGGAUCUGUAUUUUUCUCAAAUUUUCCCACCUUUUAUACGAGCCUUUAUGCCAGGCCAAAUGACCUAACCCAUAAUCAAAUCUAAGACCAAGUGAGUAAGCAAAUGUAGUUCAGAUAUUUUAGCACAUUAUAAAAAAUUUACUUUUUAAGGCAAUGUUUAAAACAUAAAGUUUACUAUUGAAAUUGAAACAUGUUUAAAAUAAAAAUUAUCGUUUUAUAAAUAAAAGUAUCAUGAAAACCGAUUAAAAUAUUCAUAAAAGUCAAUUUUUUUUUAAAAAAAAGUACCUGAUUAGGCCUGGCACACGGCCGUGUGGCGUUAAUAGUCAUGUUUUUCUGCAUCUAAAAUUCACAAAAACUUGGGUUUUCAGUACGCAGAUGAAGCAAUUUUGAAGCAAGAGCAAUGUAAAAGACUCCCGAAGCCUAAAGCGACCAUUCAAUAACACAAGACCUUAUAACAGAAAAAGAAUACCCAAUUAUGCAUAGAAAACUAUGUCCAAAGUUUUGACACAAAACCUUCAACAAUUCCAGACUUACCAACAAAAUCAACAGUGAUUACUCGAGUUAUUGCACUGAGGAUCGUUGCUUUUGAUAUCCUCGCCUAAAAAGAAACCAAACGGUCCCUUAAAAGAAGGUUUAAACAAUUUGAGUUGGAAACGACUCCGACAAAAACGAAUGAACUACCGUAUAACAAAAGUUCUAUGAUUAACGAAAUUCACACAAUUGAUGUAAUUGGUAGUAAGGACACGCGUACUUACCUGACAAUAGUAGCAAACAAAAUGUGCAGACCAAGCAACAAUUGGAUGAAGAAAAGAAGGAAAAAAGAACAAAAAGAAAUAGAUGAAAAAAAAAAAGAAAGAAGAAAAGGAAAAAAUGGCAAUGGAAAGGAAGAGGGAACGCUUAAUAAUCUAACCAUCGAUCAAAAUUCUGACAUUACGCAAAAACAUUACCUAAUGCAUACGCUGAGACUCAAACACAGGACCAGAAAGUAGACAGAUGCUUAACCAGUGAACCAGCAGGCUCGUUCUUGACUUAAAAAAAUAGAACGUCGAUAAUGACAAUAUAUCAUAAAGAAAAGAAAAAGAAAAAUAAAGAACACAUAGAAUUUUAAGUAGAAACCCUUUUGGGAAAAAAACACAGGUAAAGGAGAAGAUAAUUCACUAUAUCGAAUUCAAAUGACUAUAAGAGGAGUAGACUAUGUCUAUUUAUAGGCUUGUAAAACCAUAUUAUAAUACAAUGAGUGUAGUAAGGUUGAAACACCUUAUUCUAAUCAAUAUCGAAUAUAUGAAGUGUAAUAAGGUUGAAAAAGCUUAUUCUAAAAUAAAAUAAAAGAAGUCAUGUAGUUCUAUAUGGAUUUUACUUUUAUUUUAUUUUACCACUGUAUUUUACUUUAACAAGGAUUCGAGUCACUCAAUUCUAACAAUCUCCACCUUGACACAAAACGAUAACAUAAGUUACUAGAAUGUAACAUUUCAAACAUAAGUGACUAAAAUGUAAUCUGAGGAAAAUAAAAGUGACUAUUUUUGCCGUUUAUCCUAUUAUUAAUUAUUUUUUAUUUAAAAUUUAAUUUAAUUAGAAUUAAAUUAAAAUAUAAUUUUUUUAGCAAAAUUUGAUUAAUAACUUAUCCCUAAUAAUUAUUUUUGAUGUGUGUAUUUAACGUUGAAAACCUUAAUUUUCCCUAUUAAUUACUUUACUAUGAUUUAAGUCGUGAAUACCCCAACGUUAAGUUACAACCAUCAUCUUUUCACCAUCAUAAUUCAUUUGGAUGCCAAUCAACUACAACUUACAGAAAAAGCAAAAUUAAACAUAACUUCCUCAUCUACUUCUACCAAACUUACAAAUCACACUUUUUGUUUCAUGUCUAUCCAAAUAUGACUGCAAUACCACCCUCUGCACUUCUUCUUUUCUCACUCACUGCCCCUUCUAUAUCAUCACUUCACCCCCAAUUUCAAUGACAGGGAUGUGGGAAAUGUUGGCCCAAUCUUUGCCUUUCUCCUUUUUACAACGUUCCUCCAGCAAAGGACAGUUCCUAAUUUCCAAACAAGAAAGAGAGGGAGGGAGCAUGUUUGGGGGCAUGGAUUGGAGCUUGGGACAGCUGCGGAUAUUCAAUUCGCAAAGAGAGGUGAGGUGUUGAAACCCCUUAUACUCCAAACCCUUUAGAUUUGGAAGACCCCAGAUCCAGAGAGUUUCAAGAGAAGAGGGAAGCAGAUGUUCGUCUGGAAAACACUCCAUCCCUACUUCUGAAACCCCGAUAUAGAAAUAUGUAAGAGAAGGGAGUGUAUGCAAACUCCAUUCCCUUUUCCUAAUCAAGCUCUCAAUUAGUUUAUCACUUCCUCCGAUUCUAAUUUCUUUUAAUUUGGAGGGCAAACCCUCUUUUGGAACCCUCUCUAUUUCUGGACAACCAUCUAUUAACAACAACUCGAGGGAAAGAAAGACAGAGUGCAUUUGCUCUGGCAAUGACUUUAGACUUUUGCAACUCCAAAGCUCAAGUCGGGUCAAAUUGGUGACAACUAAUCCAUCUUCAAUUUGAAGAGAUAUCAAAUUUUGGCACCACCAUAUUUCCAAAGAAUUGAGACAUGUUAGAUGCUGGUGGUGAGAGCCCUCUAAAGCUGCACUAAUAAACUUCAAGUCUUCACAUCUAGAAAUAUCAACAUGCUUUAGCAUAGGAAACGAUCCUAAUGGGAAAGAUUCCAGUUGACCAAACUUCGUAUCUUCUAUCUCCAAAGAUUCAAGGGAUGUAUACAAGAAGAUUUUGGAAUGAUCAAAAGCUUUGCACUGCUCGAUCCUCAAUUGUUUCAAUGCAAUAGACACACUACCUUCAAGAAGGGAUUUGAUAUCAAGACAAUUGAGAUAAUUAACUUGUCGAGAUGAGUGCAGUGUUGCAACAUCUGUUCCAAUAUGGAAUCAUUCAUAUUCGAACCUCCAAUUUCCAACUCUCGAAGCCCACAAGGCAAUGGCUCCAAUUGCAAUGCGUUGCAUUUCUUUAACUGAAGUUCACAAAUGCUUGGUGUCCUUGGGAGAAAACAUUCAAGCUUCUCACAAUUUGCAAUCACCAAUUUCUUUAAAGAGGGGAGGUGUUUAGGUAUAGACUUGAUUAGCUUUGGACAACCCCUGAUGCGUAGCUCUUGCAGAAGGGAGAAAACUAGCAAGGUCAUACAAUGUUGAUUUUAAAAAGAUAGUUUGGAAGCUAUUAAAGCUAUCCAAGAUUCAAUUGCAACGCCUUCUCUUGUCCAUUACUGUAGAACUCCUCACCAACCAUUACAACUUCGCUGAACCCAGAAAUGGAGAGAGAUUUCAAAGAUGAUAAUUGGCCAAGCGGAGGCAAAGAUAUGCAAAAUUUACAAUCUUGCAACUCCAAAGAUACCAUAUUUGAGAAGAAAAAAUGCCCCACCCAUUCUGGAAAUCUCGUGCCUUUGUAACUUUCAAUAACUAGAUGCUUCAAGUUUGUAUUAGGCUCCAAUUGUUCCAAUACUUCUCUAUCAUGCUUUGAGUCACCAUCAAUAUCAUCAUAUUCACCCCAUGUCAACUUCAACUCCUUAACAUUAACCUUAUCCUUCAAAUUGGCAUCUUUGGCAUCCCUGGCAUAUACAACAUUUUUCAGUCUUGAAAUGGCAAGUCUUCCCCGUAAAUGCUUGAGCUUUCCCAACUCAUUAAUGCUUGAACCAGUUUGAUCACCUAUAACAAAAUCUGUUAAGAUUCGAAUAUCUUUCAACUUACCCAUCCCUUCUGGCAUCCCAGUUAACUUUGCUCCCCUAAUAUCAAGAUAAAGCAUGUUGAUCAAUCUCCCCAUGUCUCUCGGCAACUCAACAAGGCCACUGCAUCCAUUGAAUGUCAAUGCUUGCAAAUUAUACAAUGUACACAGAGAAUUUGGCAACCUUGUGAUUGAAGUUUUUGAGAGAUUCAAAUUUCGUAGAUGCUUCAAGUUACUAAUUUCUUUUGGCAAUUCUUUGAUAUUGACAUACCCAGCCAAAGAAAGCACUCGUAAGCUUGAUUUCAUCAACAAAUCAUGCAUUAGCACAUUGCUAACAAAGCAAUAGUAAGAACUCACAUUUAGGAAAGCACGCAGACGUUUUGCUUCAGGUAAGUUCUGAAAUUUUUGUCGCACAUCAUAAAAUUCUUGGACAUUGGACAAAUGACGAGUCCUUUCGAUUAUUUCACAAGAAUCACCAUUACCUUCCAAUCUGCAAAUAAACCCUCCAGCGAUAGAUUUAGCCAAAUCACUGAUUAGAUCAUGCAUGACAAAACUAGAUUUCUUUCCAUUCGAUUGCUGAAAAAAUGACCUCAAUCUUAUAUCUUCAAAAUAGUCAUCACCUCGUUCUUCCACAUCACCAUGGUCAUUUGGAAGCUCUAAAAGACCUUCAGCCAUCCAUAACUGAAUUAGUUCUUCCUUCUCAAAUUCGUAAUCUUUAGGGAAAAUUGAACAAUAAACAAAACAUCGCUUUAAAUGUGAAGGAAGAUAAUAAUAACUCAAUUUCAAUGCGGGAAGAAUAUCAUUUGGUAGGUCCCAAAAAUUGCUAUGUAAUAUUUUGUUCCAUUUAGCAGCGUCUAGAUUACAACGCAGAAGACCUCCUAGAGUUUUUGCAGCCAGAGGGAGGCUGUCACAUCUUUUGACAAUUGCUUUACCGAUUGCCAUCAGAUCUGGAUGCAUGCUUGGGAUUGUACCAACGAAUGCAUGCUUUGCAAAUAGCUCCCAACAGUCAUCAUUUGAUAAGGUCUGUAGAGGAUAACUUGGAACAGUCUUCAUAAUGGAGGCAACACUUUCAUGACGUGUUGUUACAAUAAUCUUGCUGUUUUGUGCCCCAAAACUGAAAGGAAUUCUGAGCUCAUCCCAAUCAGCAGACCUUAAGUUCCAAACAUCGUCUAAAACCAAUAGAAAUUUCUUUCCCGACAAUUUGUGACUGAGUUGAAGUUGAAGCUGAUUUAAGCUCUGACUAUCAUCAUAACCACCAGGGAGCUCUUGGAGGAUGGCUUUAGUUACUUUGAAAGGAUCGGAUUCUUCCGAAACACACACCCAUGCUUUGGGCUCAAACCAUUCGGCCACUUUCUGGUCAUUAUAGAUCAAUCGUGCGAGCGUGGUUUUGCCAAGCCCGCCCAUACCCACAAUGGGAAUCACAUCUACCUUAUCAUCAGCGGACAGAUUUUGACGGUGCAGCAACUCCAUUAUAUCUUCUUUUUCACCAUCUCUGCCAUAAACACCAGACUCGUCCACCAAAGAAGAAGUUGCACGUGAUCUCCGAUACUCCUUUUCUGCUCCAGAAAUUCCUUCCAAUUUCAGGGUAUCUUUCUGGCUGACUAUAUAUUCUAGUCUCCCAAGGAUCUCCUCCAGCUUUGACUGCAUCUCAUCUUUGAAAGGAUUGAAACAAGAGAAAAUGCUACUAACCUGCUUCAUAGCAGUGGUUUGAUAUUCGGAUUCGAUCUUGUUCCGAAGAGCUUCGGUAGAGAUCUCGUCCAGGAGGUCCUCGGCAUCAUAAACAGCAUCUUUGAGCUCAUCAAUCCAACUUUUGACAUUUGGGCUGGUAAUCUGCUUAUAUUCAGCAUCAUCCAACACAGCUUUCACCGACAUCAAGGUUGGCUUCAGUUUUUCCCGCAGCAUAGCUUCAAGUUUCUUUCCUUUGAUAAACCUCAGAACAUCGGCAGAAACAACCCUAUCAUGCAGUACCUCAAUGGAAGCAGAGAGAAAAGCUUCAGCCACCAUAGCCAUGUUUACAGUGAACAAGAAGAGUUCUUGAACACAAGAGAAGAAGGUUGCAAAGAUGAAGGAUAUGAAUAUGAAACAGAAGAAAGAAAGUGCAAAGCAAAUUGCAAACAAGGAACAGUAGAAGGAAUGGAUGAAGGAUGAAAGGGGAAGGCUUUAACUUGCAAAUACUUGAGUUUUACUUAUUACGAUGCAAAGGAGACAUUAGUAAAAUGCUUAAUUCCCCUAUUUUGUUAGAAUAAUAUUGUUUUUGAGAAUUUAUCAAAAAAAAUAUAUAUUGUUUUUGAGAAAUAAUUUUAUAAACUUUAUUUAUUUGUUUCAAUUGAUUAUUUUAUAUUAUUUUAUUAUUAUUUGAUAUAUGAAUUUAACUUAUAAAUAGGCACUUUUGCAACAUUAAAGAAUACACUAAUUAGAUAUUAGAACUCAUAAUACAUUUAAAGAAUUUUGUAUUUACGUUUUGAGGGUUCUUUGUUUUAAGGUUUAGUUUUUAUCUCCAUUUUUUGUACUCUUCAUUCUUUUUCGGGUUAAAAUAUGUCAUAAGUUCUUAUACUUUCCGUAUUCAUGUACUUUUAUUUUUGAGAAUUUAGUUUUACUUUUUAAAUAUCAAAAUUAAAGUUCAGUUGUUAUCACCAUUAAAAAUAUUUUGUUAAAUUAAUGUGCAUUACAACGUGAUUUUUUUGUUACAUGACUAAAAAAUAUUUUUGUAUUUAAAAAUGUGCCAUCAACAAAAUUGACAAAAAAAACAAAUUUUCAAAUCUGAAAAGUAGAGAGAUUAAAUUCUUGAAAAUAAAAGUACAAAGACCUAAUUCCAAAUUUGUGAAGAGUACGUAGACUUAUGACAUAUUUUAACAUUUAUACUACAAAAUAUUUAUUAUUAAUACAUUUUUAAUUAUAAUAAAUAUUUAUUAUUAAAUAUUUUAGAAGAAAAUUAUUUAAACAAAAUUGAAAAUAAACUUGAUAUUAAAUUUAUUUUAUCUUGCUUUUCCUAGCUUAGAAAAUUGACUAUUCUUUUACAAGGGAAGUCUUCACUUUGAUUGUGUUGAUGGGAUAUGUCUCUUAAUUAUUGAGUGGGAAAUUUUGUUCUACAUUCAGUCAUUUUCAAUACUACAAAAUGGCAUAAGGACAAAACCACAAAUUUAAUUAAAAUAUUACAUAAAAAGGAAAUAAUUAUGAUACAAAUUAUUAACCAAUCACAAUUUAUUAAAUAUAUAAUAUUUCUUGAUUAUAUGAUAUAAUCUGUUACUUAUGAAAUCACCCCAUUGAAUUUAAUUUGCAACCAUUUCUAAUUUUGCAAUCUCAAAAAAUUGAUUUUUUUUUAAAUUACCCUCAAAAUCAUAAAUUUAAUUUUUUGUAUAAUAAUUUAUUUAGUUUUUCACUUUUUUAGUUUUUGAGUUUAUAUUGUUGAUCAAAUCAUCUAAAAAAUGAAUGAAAAAAUUAUCAUUUAAUUUUGUUGACGUGACAUCUACGUGUAUACUAUAUAAACAAUUAAUUAAUUCCUUUUUGAACAAUCUCAUUAUAAGAUCUGAUCAUAUCUAUUAAUUAAUUCCUAAAACUACUCAUAGCCCCUUCCCAACCCAUAAAUAGAAAGAUAAUAAUGCGCUUCAGCGCACAUAAAUCCAUGUCCUCCUGCAUCCAUGCCAAUUUAGUUAAUAUUCAAUUGGUGCAAUUAAUUAAUUUUUUAAACUAAAGAUAUUGAAAAUAUAUUUUUAUAUUUUAUACUUUUUAAUUUAUUAAAAAUAUUUUUUAUAAUUUUUUUAACUUUUUAAAUUUUAAAAAAUGAAUUAUUUGCUAAAGUGGCAUCCAUGUGACAAUCCACGUAUAUAUCAUAUUAGCAAAUUUAACAAACGUUAUUUUUUUAUCUAUGUUAAUGUGAUUUGAUAAACAAUACAACUUUAUGAAUAAAAAAAGACAAUUUUAAAUAGAAAAUUAAAUAUAUAUAUAUAUAUAUAUUAAAUUAGAGGAUGAAUUACUAUAUUUUUUAGAAAAUAUAUAAACGUAUGCGUUAUUUAACUGUUUGUGGGACAUGUCUCAAAAGUAUUAGUGGGAACUUUAUGCUUUACAGAUGAACAUGCAACAUCUAAAUUUAAUGACACGAUAAUUAAACCAAAACUUAAAAAAAUACACAAAUGAAGAAAUAAUAUGGAAAAGUAACUAAAAUAUAUCACUUUGAUCAAAUAAUAACAACACAAUAAUACACAAAUAUUUUGAAAUUUAUACUACAAAUUAAGUAAAAGUAUUAUGGAGUUCCAUGUAUUAGAACUUGGAUGCUAGUUUGUUCUCAUUAUUUAAAAAAUAGAUAAAUUAGUCUCUGUACAUUAGAUUAAAGAACAAAAUGAUUAUUCUAUGAAAAAUUUCAUCCGUUUCACUGCUAAAAACUAAUUAGUUGAACGGUAAACUUAAAGUUUUAGCAAUCUAAUUGGCAUGGAUUCAAAUCUCACUAUAUAUAUUGUUUUUUAUUAAAAUGAAAAGAUUAAAAUACUCUCAAAUAAUAUGGCUUAUUUUAAUUACGGAAAGACAUUUUCAUAAUUUCCUACCUAAAUUGAUACUCAGCUAACUCGUUACAUCAACUCAUGCAAAAGUUUUAUUAAUAAUAUAUGUAGAAACCACUUUUUGAAAACAAAAAUAGCGUAGACUUAAAAAAAAAAUUGGAGUCGCCACUGAUCUUUUAUUGAGGUGUGACCGGAUCACCUUGAAAACAAUUUUGGUCUAUGAGUUUUAAGAAAAACGAAUUCAGGAGUCUGUUACGUACGAGGAAAGGUUAGCACCCUCGUAACACCCAAAAUUGGUACAUAAUUUAUUAUUAGUGUCUUAUAGUCGAAUGUCAAAAAUUCAAAAAGACUAAAAAUGAUCCCCUUUUAUUAAUAACAUAUUUUUAAACAAUAUUUGUAUAAUUUUGCACAUAUGUAAAAAGGUCUUCUCACCCCGAGGCAACAAAAUAUUGUAUCCCAUAAGUUAGGAUACAACAAUUGAAUUCACGAGCAUAAGCUAACCUUUAAAAACCUUUAUUGAAACUUUGUGUAUUUGAAAACUACAAACGUUUGACCAUCUUGGUUCAAUAAGAAAAUCGAAACCCCGUAAGUUAGGGCACAAUUCCUCAAAGUUCCAAAGGCGAUAUAUAAGUUUUCCUUUAUUUAAAAAAUUUCGUCUCGAGAUAUCGAAAUGUCAUAUCCAAUGAGUUAGGACACAACAUUUUGAAUUCCCGAGAUAAGUUUUGAUUUGAAAUUUUUACGUUUGAAUUGAAAAAGGGAUACUCGGUUACUUAAAUUCAACGAGGAAAAUUGAAGCCCAGUAAGUUAGAGCACAAUCUUCUCGAGAAUCUUGGAUACCGAUUAUUGCUUUAUUUUGAAAACUUUUGAAUAAAACGAUCUUAAUGCAUUAACGAGACGUAAUCUUUUUGACAAAUAAAGCGCAAAGGGGAUGACAAUAUAUAACGCAAAAUGAUAAUUCGUAAACUAAAAUGUAUACUAAUGAGCGACGAAGAAUCAAGAAAUACGAAUAAAUAAUACCAUACAUAUAAGAGCAAUAAUCCUACAUCAAAUGUAAACAUCAACAUUCAAAAGAUAAUAAACUAAAAGCUAAAUAAAAAAAAAGUACCAAGCAAAUUAAUACAAAUAAAAUGUAACAAGUUUUUUAAAAAAAAUAAAUUAACAAAUAAUAUGAAAGAAGGAAAAUAAUUUUAAAAUAAAUAAUAUAUAUACAUGUAUGAAAGUUUGAAAUAAAUCAAAAAUAUAGUAAAAAUAAAUAAAUACUACAUAAAAUAAUAGUAUCUAUAUAAAUUUUAAAGUAAAUAUUAUAUAAGAAGUAAAUCAAAAUACAUAAAAGAAUAUACAUAUAUCAACCUAAAUAAAUAAUACAUAUAAAGUGAAAAAUCUAAUAAUAAUAUGAAUGAUAAUAUAUAUACAUAAUAAUAUAUAANNNNNNNNNNNNNNNNNNNNNNNNNNNNNNNNNNNNNNNNNNNNNNNNNNNNNNNNNNNNNNNNNNNNNNNNNNNNNNNNNNNNNNNNNNNNNNNNNNNNNNNNNNNNNNNNNNNNNNNNNNNNNNNNNNNNNNNNNNNNNNNNNNNNNNNNNNNNNNNNNNNNNNNNNNNNNNNNNNNNNNNNNNNNNNNNNNNNNNNNNNNNNNNNNNNNNNNNNNNNNNNNNNNNNNNNNNNNNNNNNNNNNNNNNNNNNNNNNNNNNNNNNNNNNNNNNNNNNNNNNNNNNNNNNNNNNNNNNNNNNNNNNNNNNNNNNNNNNNNNNNNNNNNNNNNNNNNNNNNNNNNNNNNNNNNNNNNNNNNNNNNNNNNNNNNNNNNNNNNNNNNNNNNNNNNNNNNNNNNNNNNNNNNNNNNNNNNNNNNNNNNNNNNNNNNNNNNNNNNNNNNNNNNNNNNNNNNNNNNNNNNNNNNNNNNNNNNNNNNNNNNNNNNNNNNNNNNNNNNNNNNNNNNNNNNNNNNNNNNNNNNNNNNNNNNNNNNNNNNNNNNNNNNNNNNNNNNNNNNNNNNNNNNNNNNNNNNNNNNNNNNNNNNNNNNNNNNNNNNNNNNNNNNNNNNNNNNNNNNNNNNNNNNNNNNNNNNNNNNNNNNNNNNNNNNNNNNNNNNNNNNNNNNNNNNNNNNNNNNNNNNNNNNNNNNNNNNNNNNNNNNNNNNNNNNNNNNNNNNNNNNNNNNNNNNNNNNNNNNNNNNNNNNNNNNNNNNNNNNNNNNNNNNNNNNNNNNNNNNNNNNNNNNNNNNNNNNNNNNNNNNNNNNNNNNNNNNNNNNNNNNNNNNNNNNNNNNNNNNNNNNNNNNNNNNNNNNNNNNNNNNNNNNNNNNNNNNNNNNNNNNNNNNNNNNNNNNNNNNNNNNNNNNNNNNNNNNNNNNNNNNNNNNNNNNNNNNNNNNNNNNNNNNNNNNNNNNNNNNNNNNNNNNNNNNNNNNNNNNNNNNNNNNNNNNNNNNNNNNNNNNNNNNNNNNNNNNNNNAUAGUUUAAUAUAAAUUGUAUAUAUAUAUAGAGAGAGAAUAGUAUUGUAUAACAGUAUUAUCGUAUAAAUUUUUAAAGCAUAAAAGUAUGUAUAAGUGAAUUUUAAAAAUAUAUUAUAAAAUAAAACCAUAAAUUAUAUAAAUUAUAUUGGAUUAAUAUAAAAAUAUAUAUAAAAUAAUACAUGAUGAAAUUAAAUAAUAAUAUAUGAUAAAAAGAAUUAAAAUAAUAGUACAUAAUAAAAUAAAAUAAUGUAUAUAUAAAAAGGUAAACAAAUAUAUAAACUAAUACAAUAAUAAUACCUAUAAUAAUAACAACAACAAUAAUAAUAGUAAUAAUAAUAAUAAUUAAUUAAUUAAUAAAAAAACCAAAUAACAAAAAGGAUUAAAUCGCAAUUAAAACUGAAUUAACAGGAAAAAUCGCAAUUAAAACUGAAUUAACAGGAAACAAAUAAAAUUUCAAUAAAGUGAAGGAUUAAAACACAACAUGCGGAUUACAUGGGGGCCAGAUUGGAAAUAUUUCCUUUCCCCAAAACGCUACGUAGCGAUAUGGAUUAAAAUGUCAUAAAGGUAAAUUUUUUGGGCCAAAUUAAAAGAGGAAGAAGGGGCCUAAUUAAAACAUAUCGCAAAAGUGGAGGUCUAACUGCGAAAUUUCCCUUUUAGGGCAAGAACGCGCGUACCCUACCUACGGGUCAGGUCGAAGCGAGGAUCUUGCCCUUAUCCAAACGGCGCCGUUUUGGUAUUUUAUUUAAACAAAUUUUUUUAAAAAAAAAAUCAUUUUUGCCUUGAGGGCAAAGAAAAACGUGGCCGCCUCCAUUCUCUGCUAGGGUUCAACCUAGUCUCAGUGGUCCGUAACCCCCCUUUCGCCAUGGAGCCACCGCGAAUGGUGCUCGAAGCCAACGGGUGUCCAGGUAAGUCGCUCUUUUCCCUUUUUACACCCUUUUUUACACAAGUGAAAGUAAAAGAAAUAAAAAAAAAAGAAAAAGAAAACUAGAGAAGAGAAAAACGAAUCACCUUUAAAAUAUUCGAAAAUUUUUUUUUAUUUGUAUCCAAUAUCCCUUCUACAGAUUUUCAAAUGGCUUUAUAUAGCCGAAAAAAAUAAAAUAAAAAAUGAAAAAUAUAGAAAAAUUCUUAUUAUUUGUUGUACUUUCUGUUAAUUUUUGCAUUUUUUCGCAGGUACGAAGGCUGUUGUGUUGACGUGUCGAUGCACGUGGGAUGGGUGGCACGCGUGGCUGCUGUGUGAGGGAGGCGUGCGGCGGCUGAAGCUGUUUCAGAAACCCUAGGGGUUUCUGGAAAAUUCAAUAUGGGCUAUUGAAUUUUUUUGGGCCUAUUGUAAUUAGGUUAGAUUAGGCUAGAAUUGGGCUAGGGUAAUUUAGGCCUGUAAUAUUGGACUUUGAUAAUGGACUUUUAUUUUUUAUCUUUUGUUUAUUAGUUUUUUUUAUUUUUUUACUUUUGGGCCUGGACAUAUUUGGGCUUGUACAAUAUAAAUAUUGUAUUAAUCUUUUUUUUUAAAUAGUUGUUACAAAAACACUUUCAUGGAAGAUCACUUAUUUAUUUAUUAAACAUCAUUUAUUAAUGAUGAGCAAAAUUUGAUUCGAUUCGAAAAAAAUAAAAAAGAAGAGAAAUUUGAAUAAUUUGAAUAAUUGAUUGGUGUAAGUCAUUGGUGAAGUUUGAAAUAAUAUUUUUUAUUAGCAAAAGUUAUAAAUUUAUUUUAUUUCAUUGUAUUACAAUUUAUUUAUAUAUCUUUAAAUAAACAAUUAAAGGAUAAAAAUAAAUAAAUUAAUUAAAUUAAAUAAUUUUACUUUAAUACACACCUUAAUGUUAAUGGUAAUAAUACUAAAUAAAAACAAUAAAUAAUUUACUUAAUAAAAGAUAGUUGAUAUUCCAUAAUGGAAUGCUGUAAUUCAACAUUAAACAUAACUUCCUCAUCUACUUCUACCAAACUUACACAUCUCACUUUUUGUUUCAUGUCUAUCCAAAUAUGAAUGCAAUACCACCCUCUUCACUUCUUCUUUUCUCACUCACUGCCCCUUCUACAUCAUACUCCACCCCCAAUUUCAAUGACAGGGAUGUGGGAAAUGUUGGCCCAAUCUUUGCCUUUCUCCUUUUCACAACGCUCCUCCAGCAAAGGACAGUUAAUAAUGCACAAAUGAUAGAGAGAGGGAGGGAGCAUGUUUGGGGGCAUGGUUUGGAGCUUGGGACACCAGCCGAUAAACAAAUUGGAAAGAGAGGUGAGGUGUUGAAACCCCUUAUACUCCAAACUCUUUAGAUUUGAAAGACCCAAGAUCCCGAGAGUUUCAAGAGAAGAGGGAAGCAGAUGUUCAUCUGGAAAACACUCCAUCUCUACUUCUGAUUCCCGGGUAUAGAAAGAUGUAAGAGAAGGGAGUGUAUGCAAACUCCAUUCCCUUUUUCUAAUCAAGCUCUCAAUUAGUUUAUCACUCCUUCCGAUUGAAAAUACUUUUAAUUUGGAGGGCAAACCCUCUUUUGGAACCGUCUCUAUUUCUGGACAAUCAAUUAUUGUCAAAUCCUCAAGGGAUGGAAAGACACAGUGCAUUUGCUCUGGCAAUGACUUUAGACUUUCGCAACAGAAAAGCGUAAGCCGGGUCAAAUUGGUGACAGGUAAUCCAUCUUCAAUUUGAAAAGAUAUCAAAUUUUGGCACCCCCAUAUUUCCAAAGAAUUGAGACAUGUUAGAUGCUGGUGGUGAGAGCCCUCUAAAGCAGCACUAAUAAACUUCAAGUCUUCAAAUCCAGAAAUUUGAACAUGCUUUAGCAUAGGAAACGGUCCUAAUGGGAAAGAUUCCAGUUGAUCACACUUUGUACCUUUUAUCUCCGAAGAUUCAAGGGAUGUAUACAAGAUGAUUUUGGAAUGAUCAAAAGCUUCGCACUGCUUGAUCUUCAGUUUUUUCAGUGUAAUAGACACACUAUCCUCAGGAAGGGAUUUGAUAUUAGAACAACCAGAGAUAGUUAACUUGUCGAGAUGAGUGCAGUGUUGCAACAUCUGUUCCAAUAUGGAAUCAUUCAUAUUCGAACCUCCAAUUUCCAACUCUCGAAGCCCACAAGGCAAUGGCUCCAAUUGCAAUGCGUUGCAUUUCUUUAACUUAAGUUCACAAAUGCUUGGUGUCCUUGGGAGAAAACAUUCAACCUUCUCACAAUUUGCAAUCACCAAUUUCUUUAAAGAGGGGAGGUGUUUAGGUAUAGACUUGAUUAGCUUUGGACAACCCCUGAUGCGUAGCUCUUGCAGAAGGGAGAAAACUUCAUCACUCCUACACAACCAUUCUUCCCACCCAGCCAUAUUCUCAAACACUAGGAUUUCAAGAGAUCCAAAUGGUUUAGUCGAAGCUUGUCCAUUACCAUAGAACUCCUCACCAACUACUACAACUUCGCUGAACCCAGAAAUGGAGAGGGAUUUCAAAGAUGAUAAUUGGCCAAGCGGAGGCAAAGAUAUGCAAAAUUUACAAUCUUGCAACUCCAAAGAUACCAUAUUUGAGAAGGAAAAAUGCCCCACCCAUUCUGGAAAUCUCGUGCCUUUGUAACUUCCGAUGACUAGACGCUUCAAGUUUGUAUUAGGCUCCAGUUGUUCCAAUACUUCUCUAUCAUGCUUUGAGUCACCAUCAAUAUCAUCAUAUUCGUCCCAUGUCAACUUCAACUCCUCAAGAUUAACCUUAUCCUUCAACUUGGCAUCUUUGGCAUCCCUGGCAUUUACAACAUUUUUCAGUCUUGAAAUGGUAAGUCUUCCACGUAAAUGCUUGAGCUUUCCCAACUCAUUAAUGCUUGAACCAGUUUGAUCACCUAUAACAAAAUCUGUUAAGAUUCGAAUAUCUUUCAACUUACCUAUCCCUUCUGGCAUCUUAGUUAACUUUGUUCCCCAAAUAUCAAGAUAAAGCAUGUUGAUCAAUCUCUCCAUGUCUCUCGGCAACUCAACAAGGUCACUGCAUCCAUGCAAUGUCAAUGCUUGCAAAUUAUACAACGUACACAGACGCUUCGGCAACCUUGUGAUUGAAGUUUCUGAGAGAUUCAAAUUUCGUAGAUGCUUCAAACUACCAAUAUCUUCCGGCAAUUUAUUGAUAUUUUUAUACCCAGCCAAAGAAAGCACUCGUAAGCUUGAUUUCAUCAACAAAUCGUGCAUUAGCACAUUGCUAACAUUUACCCAAUAGAAAGAAGAGUUCACAUUUACCCAAUAGAAAGAAGAGUUCACAUUUAUGAAAGUACGCAGACCUUUUGCUUUAGGUAGACUUUGAAAUUUUUGUCGCACAUCAUAUAGUUCUUGGACAUUGGACAAAUGACGGGUCUUUUCAGUUAUUACACAAGAACCACCACUCCCUUCCAAUCUGCAGAUGAAUUCUCCGGUGACAGAUUUAGCCAAGUCACUAAUUAGAUCAUGCAUGACAAAACAAGAUUUCUUUCCUUUUGAUUGUUGAAAAAAGGACCUCAAUCUCAAAUCUUUUAAGUACUCGUUACCCAGUUCUUCCGGAUCUCCAUUAUCUUUCGAAAGCUGUAAAAGUCCUUCAGCCAUCCAUAAUUGAAUAAGUUCUUCCUUUUCGAAUUCGUAAUCUUUAGGAAAAAUUGAACAAUAAGCAAAACAUCGCUUUAAAUGUGAAGGAAGAUAAUGAUAACUUAAUGUUAGCGCUGGAAGAAUAUUACUUGCAGUAUUUGGUAUGUCCCAAAAAUUGCUAUGCAAGAUUUUGUUCCAUUCAUCAGCGUCUAGUUUANNNNNNNNNNNNNNNNNNNNNNNNNNNNNNNNNNNNNNNNNNNNNNNNNNNNNNNNNNNNNNNNNNNNNNNNNNNNNNNNNNNNNNNNNNNNNNNNNNNNAGGAAGGCCGUUACACCUUUUCACGAUUGCUUCACCAAUUGCCUUGAGAUCCGGAUGCGUGCUUGGGGUUGUACCAACGAAUGCAUGCUUUGCGAAUAACGUUCAACAAUCAUCAUUAGAUAAGGUCUUCAGAGGAUAAGUUGGAAUAGUCCUCAUAAUGUCGGCAACACUUUCAUUACGUGUGGUUACAAUAAUCUUGCUAUUCUGAGCCCCAAAUUUGAAAGGAAUGCUGAGCUGCUCCCACACAGCAUAGUUUUCAUUCCAAACAUCAUCCAAAAUGAUUAGAUAUUUCUUUCCCAACAGCUGCUCUUUGAGUUUAAGUUGAAGCUGAUUUAAGUUCUGGUUUCCAUCACAGCUUCAUUUGGUUUCUUCAAGAAUGGUUUUGGUUACCUUGAGAGCAUCAAAUUCCUCUGAAACACACACCCAUGCUUUGGGGUGAAACCAUUUAUCCACUCUGGGGUCAUUGUAGAUCAAUUGGGCAAGGGUGGUUUUUCCGAGCCCGCCCAUACCCACAAUGGGAAUCACAUCUAUCUGAUUUUUAGGCAGAUUUUGAGGAUCCAACAACUUCAUUAUUUCUUCUUUUUCAUCAUCUCUACCACAAACAUCAGACUCGUCCACCAAAGAAGUUGCAGGCGUUCUUUGAAAUGCCUUUUCUCCUUCAGAGUUUUCUUUCAGACCCAGAAUCUGUUUUUGGUUCAGUAGGUUGUCUAGUCUCCCAAGGAUCUCCUCUAGCUUUGACUGCGCCCCAUCUUUGAAAGGAUUCAAAGAAGAGAAAAAGCUACUAACCUGCUUCAUAUGAGUAGUUUGAUAUUCUGAUUCAAUCUUGUUCCGAAGAGCUUCAGUAGAGAUCUCGUCCAGGAGGUCCUCGGCAUCAUAAACAGCAUCUUUGAGCUCAUCGGUCCAACUUUUGACAUUUGGGUUGGCAAUCUGCUUAUUUUCAGCAUCAUCCAACACUGCUUUCACCGAGAUCAAGGUUGGCUUGAGUUUGUUCAGCAGCACAGCUUCAAGUUUCUUUCCUUUGAUAAGCCUCAGAACAUCGGCAGAAACAAUCCUAUCAAGCAGCACCUCAAUGGAAGCAGAGAGAAAAGCUUCA
rnacentral:lncRNA from 1 species